rnacentral:lncRNA from 1 species
UUUUUUUUUUUUUGUGGAGCUUUGAACUCAACUCUGAUCCAGAGUUGUUGAGUUGUUCUUUGUGAGAAAAACUGUUGUAUACUGGAGGGGACAAUUCAAGAAGAUUACUGCUGGACCGGUGAAAAUAUUUGCUGCAGUGGGCUUGAAUCUCCUUAAAGACAACGAGAUAUCUGCGCCUCAACUGAAGAUGAAGAAGAAGAUAAUUUUUAUUUUCUUCACUUGUAAUUUUCCAUUGUAAUAUUAUUGUGAUUUCACCAACAAGAAAUAUAUAAAUAACUUUGCAUCUUAAAAAAUUAGAAGUAUGAAUUUUGAAUUUUAAAAAAUAUUAAUCUACAUCUACAAUAUAUUAAAAGUGUGAAGACCAUUAAAAAGUGAUUUGAAUAUUUUGCCCUUUAUUAAAAGUCUUGGUAAUGGACAAAAUUAUCUUUUCACUUGUUUUCUUCAAUUAUUAUAAUUAAAAUAUUUAAAAUAAAAAAGUACUAAAAUAUAUGGUUAGAGAUAGAACCCGUUUGGAUAGAAUUAAAAUCUGGUCAAAUAAGUUUUUCACUUUUUUUAGCUUUCUUAAAUGUUUGAUAAAAUUAAAAAGUGCUUCAGAAAAGCUAACAACUGAUUAAAAAUACAAAAAGUGAGAUGUUGGUACCCCCAACUUUUUACUUUUUAGAUUAAAAUUCUUUUAGGUUUGUCCAAAAUCUUUACCUUUUUAUCUCUUAUAUUUUUCUCCAAUUCCAACAAUACCUUGAACUUGUAACCCUUAAAUAUAUAGUUUUCUUUCUAUUUCUCUUUGCUGCUUCUCUUCAUUUCUUCCCUUCAAUUUCCUUUCCAUCUUUCUCCAUUAUUUUCAGUGAAUAUAUCAUUACAUUUGAGGUUUACAUAUUUUUAAACAUAACCAAAUUGUUACGAGCUUGCAAUAUUACAGUAUAAUACUAUUUUUAUAGAAAAAAGUCCUAAGAAUUUUAUUUUUUAAUAUUUAAAAAUAAAAGGUAACUUAUAUUUAUAAAUUGACCUCACAUAAUCACUUUAUGUUGAAAGUUAAUUUAAAUAGAAAUUAUUUCUAAAUUAUUAAAAUUAAAAAUUAUAAUUAAUUUACCUUAUUUAUGGUGUUAAUAUUUUUAAGGACAUUUAAGUCAUUUUGACAAAAAAAAAGUACUUAACAUCACUUGCUUACCAAACAGGUCAAUAAUUUUUUUUUUAUUUUCAACACUUUUAUCGAGACACUUAUCUACUUAAUUUAUAAGCACUUAUUUUAAACUUUUAAUCAUUUAAACUAAAAAGUUAUUUUUUAAUCCUAUCGAAACGGACAUCGUAGAAAAAUUAAUAAUUAAAUAGUCCUAAAAUGUAUAGUAAGAAAAAAUAUAUAUUUUUAUAAUUAAAAAAUAUUAAAAUAUAUAGUAAGAGAAAAAUAUAUAUGGUAAUUGAAAUUAAUAAUUAAUAGACUACACUUCAUGAGUUGUUGCUAAGAGUUAUAAUUAAAAAGAAUUUAAAAAAUUACUCAAUAGUUUAAAAUUGUCUUUUUACUUGUUUCCUCCAAUUAUUAUAAUUAAAGUAUUUUAAAAAAUACUAAAGUAUAUGGUAAAAGAUUAGCAGGAAAAGAAAUAAUUAAAGAGUAUUAGGUAAGAAAAAAUAUAUAUUUUUAAAAUUAAAUUUUUUUAAAAAUAUAUAGUAAGAGAAAAAUAUAAUGGUAAAGAAAAUUAAUAAUUAAUAGACUACACUUCAUGAGUUGUUGCUAAGAGUCAUAACUAAAAAUAAUUUAAAAAUACUCAACAGUUCAUGUGCACUUUUUAGCCCAAUUUAUUUAGGAAAUUUUCAUCUAAUCUUUUGGGUUAUUUUUGUUAAAAAAUAAUUUCAUGUUUAGUACAAUCAGGAGUUUUCAUUCAUAGGUUACUGUUAUAAAACUAAUAAGUGUGAUGUCCAUUACUCUAGAAAUUAAUUCUACUACUUGUCUCAAUUAUUUUCCUCCAUUAUGAAGAUAACCUUCACCAUUCAUGACCAUUAUUCUUGUGACCUUAUACAUCCAUAACCUCCUCCAUUAUAUAAUGGUUAAUGUCACGUUUAUGACAACCUUUUGCAUGACUCUAUAUGACACUAUAAAUAGAGGCAUAAGGGUUCAUAUUGUAUACACUUGUACAUUUGAUAUUUGGAAGAAUGAAAAGCUCUCAUCUAUUGUCUUCUCUCAAUAUGUUUUAUCUACUUUAUUUGUAACGACCUAAAAAUUUGAUGAAAUAUGUGAAACAUGUGAUUUUGUGUGAUUUGACCGUCUUACCCCUCCUCAUAGUUGCAUUAUGGUAUUUCUGGGGUGUGGGUGUGAUUGACGUGAUUUUUGAUGCAUUUUAGUAUCAUUUAUGCGAUAUUGUGGUUUUUGAUGACUUCGAGAGCCUUAUUUUGGACUUAUGUAGAUAUAUUUUAAUCCGUGCUAUGGAUGGCUGAGCGGAUUGCGCCAGAAGCUCCAGAAUAUCAAUUUUAGGAUAGAUAGAUCUUUUGUUUGAGUGCUGGUGCACCCGAGCUCAUUUCGACUUAAUGGUCGAAAAGUUGGAAAAUUGAAAAUAUGGGUUUGGGACCCAUAUUUGGCCUAAACAACCUCGGAUGGAAAAUCUGACUUUGCCAGUAGAUUUGAAAUGUCAAUUUUAGGGUGUUAGCAUAUUUGGUGUGAUUUUACGGCUUUUAAAUCUCAUUUCGACCCUCGAUUUGAAAAAUUAUAAUUUCGAGUUUUGGGGGUCAACUUUGUGAAAACGAUAUUUUUUCAAAAAUAUGAAUUCACCCGUCCGAAACAUCGAAUUUAUUAUGAUUGCAUAGUUCGUUUGCACAUAUCGGACUCCGAACGAAUCUCGGGCACCCCAUCGAAGUCCGAAUUAGACUUAAAAUAGAGAAACAACAGCUUUUUCCUUGUUAGUGCAGAUUUUCCGCACUAUUAAAUAGUUUUUGAGUGCAUUUUGCUCCUUUUUCAUCUUGCCUUUUGAGAAUUAAACCCUAAAAUAGUAUGGGAGCUUAAAAGUGAAGCUUGUGGGAGCUUGGAAAGAUAGAUUAUCAUCUAUUUCUUGAUUUUAUUACGGAUUUAAGGUAAGAAUUUACCCUUUUCUUAGUAAUUUCUUGAUAAAUUUUUCAAAAUCCCAAAAAUCUUAGAACUUGAUUUUAAAUCCCAUUUUCACUUGAAUAAUAUUUUUAUCUUAUAAUUACUAGUUUUUGAUCAAUUUAACCUUUAAAACAACUCUGAUUCUUGAUUUUAACUCGAAUUUCAAAGAUUUUACCCAGUAAAGCUCAAAAAUAACUUUCUUCAAUUUGAACCUUGUUUUUGACUCGACAUGACUUGGAUUUUCAACUUUAGAUUCCUAAAAAUCUGAAAAACAUUUUUCUAAAGUAAAGUUUCAAUUUUUCCCUUUUUUCCAGAAACCCAUUUCGGGGGUCCGUUUUGACACCGAACCAAAAUUAGUCUAUAUAGGUGUUGUUGGUUUUGUUUUGAAGUGUAUAUUACAUAUUUGAUAUUUUUAGAGGAGUUUGGGAUCGUUCGUGGAAAGUAAGGUCAUGGGUUCUAAGUGUAGUGGAUCGAUUUCGAUUUUUGAGGUAGGUUAUGGAUUAACUCUUUAAGACUGGGGAGGGUAGUAAAUGAUAAUACAAAAUACAUGUUAAGGGUGGUAACUAAUCAUGGAAAAUGGAUAUCUAUAUGUUGUGCCCAUGUGGGGCCCUAUAUCUGAUGUAAUUAUCAAAAUUGAGAUAUUAUGUGAUGUGUGUAACUGUGUGGAGUCCUAUGUGAUGUUGAUAGCCCUAAAUACAUGUGAAUAAUUGUAUUGUGUUGUUGAAAUGUCUAAUAUGAUACCAUUGGUGUAUUAUGAUAUAUUUAUACUUAUUGAUAUAUGAGACAUGCAGAAAUUCAUGAAUGAAACAGAAAUAAUAAGUGGAUAUUGACUCACAUAGUUGUGGAAAUAUAUUAUUGUGGUUGGUUGUGGAAAUAUAUCAUUGUGAUUGAUUUUGAUCAUUACAUCCUUAUAUCAUACUCAUUCAUGAAACAUUAGUACCAACGUGGCAACACCUGAGUAACACUGGCAACACCUUUUUAAAAUCUUUCCCGAUGGAUGUGCCAGGGAGGAGAUAUUAUAACACCUUAUAAAAUUCUUUUCGAGAGAUGUUUCGAAAGGGAGAUAUGAGAUAUGUGUAUUGUAUACGAGUUGACGAACCCCGCAUAGGUCCUACGUCAAGAAGGUUUAGUUUUGUAGGUGUAUAUAGGGAUUGUACGAUGAUCCCGGAGGUUGUGCAACGACCUCGUGCAUCAUCAUCAUCAUCAUAUACAUUGCACUUACUUUUUUGUGUUUAUAUUGUGUUGUAUUAUCGUAUUGACUUGCCAUCUAUGUAAUUGUAUUAUCUUCUUUUACUUGUAUUUGAUAAUCUUGUAUAUGCAUGUUCCCCCUUGUUCUACUUAUAUGUGAUAUAAUGCAUACUCGUGUUUUAUCUUGGUGUGUAUGUGAUAUAUUAGAACUGUUAGUGCAACUGGUGUGGGCUAUCGUAGUGGGACAUUUUUUGAUUAUAGGUGACGUGCCCUUAGUGUAUAUUUUGCAUGAUUUAUUUACUACUUUGCUUGGUCGGCCUAUGAUACCUACUGAGUACAAGUGGACCGCACUCAUGCCUACUGCACCUUUUUGGUACAGGUCCUAUCUCAAGUGCACCUCAGCUUGCUUGACUAGGGCAAUUGUUGGAGCUUCCAAGGUAGCGGUUGGACAUUCAUGCGUCCGGAGUUCACCUCUAUAUUUCUAUAAUAGUCAUGUCUUUAUUAUUAUUCAGAGAUAGAUAUUAUUCCCAUGCGGUUAUUUUUCUGAUGUAUUUGACUCCUGGAUUGUAUUAGUAGUUCUUACACUAUUGACACCUGAUUUUGGGCAUAUUGAUAUUUUGGAUAAGUUCUUUCCACAUUGUUAUGAUUACUUAUAUGGUUCGACUCCGUUCUAGAAGCUUACCUUGGGAUAUUUCUAUCUUUUCUCCUUUUUUCUAUCAGUUUAGGUAAUAGGCUUACUUGUCAAGGUAUGUCGCGACAAGUGUCAUCAUGACCCUCGUUUUUGGGUCGUGACAUUAUUGUUCAUAAUAUUCAUCUUUUGACUUAAUUUUAAAAUACGUUAUCAGCACGAAGAUCAAUGGUUAAAGAUAAACUAUGUCAGAGAAAUUAAGAAGUUGCAUUAUCAGUACUAACUUAUAGUAGUAUAUUAUUAUUAAUAUUGUUUCUAGUGAAGUAUGUUUGCACACAAUUUGAUUAUACAUCUCUAGUGAAGUAUGUUGGGACACAAUUUGAUUAUACAUCUCUACAAAUUAUACUUUAAUUCUCUAUUAGUUGAGAUUGGAUACCCAGACACUAUAUUCGCUUGUUUUAUCUUAAUUGUUGGAAGGUAACGUAAUUUUUUUUUAGGCCCGAACACAUGCAAGUUGUAAAAGUCAUAAUUAUUCUCUCCUUCCUCUUUCAUGAAAUUGACAUGGCUAAAUAUAUAGUUUCAAAAUGUCAUAUAGUUAUGUUGCAUGACUUUUUGGAUUUUUUUAAUAUUAUUUAUUGAAAUCUAAUUAAUUUUGAGCUUUAAUAGAAUUUUAACUUAGCAUGAUUAAAAUGUUAAUUAGAAUCAAUAUGCAUAUUUAGCUACUCUAUUUGAAAGAAGCAUUAUGUUUCUCAUCCAAUUUAAUUUGUGAUUUAUUAUUUCUGUUGUUGCUACUAAUUUUUAAAUAUUUAAAGAUUCAAUUAUACUUGGGUCUAUUUUGACAUUGGUUGAUUGUAAGACAUCAGUUUGAACUCCUGUCACACCCCCUUAUUUACCAAAAAUGGUUUAAUUUAAGUUUUAAAAGGAUUUUAUUAUUAAGUGACAAAAGAAAAUGAUUUGUUUCGAAAAGGACUUUUAUCAAUCAAAACUGUUGCCACGUGGCAUAAAUAUGGUGUGCCAAGUAACCUUUGAAAAUCCUUUUUCAAAAUGAUUUUUGACUCUUUCAAAACUGAUCCACGAAUAAAAAUUCCGGCUAAGGAAUUCUGUUGAUCGAGGGGAAGGUGUUAGGUACCCCUAGAUCCCAUGAUUCGACCAUGGUCGCUUCUUGACAUUUCCAAAAAGCCACAACCAAUAUAAUUCAACAUUCAUCAUUUACAUCACGCACAAGAUAAAAGAAAGUGGAUAAGAUAACGAUAAAUCACAUACAAAAAUAAAGAAUUAACUAAGAAUAAGAAUGAGCUAAAUAGAUGGACCUUAAAUUGGGGCUUUCAAGUUAUGAGUAUUAUUUGAUCAGACUUUUAACUUUAAACCGAGCAGUUGAUCAGAGUUCACGAACAAGACCUCAUCGGAACCGCAACUCGAAAUCUGUAAAUUUGAAAUCGUCAACCCAAAAUCGAUUUGUACCUAAACCCUAAUCAUUUUUCCAAUUCAUUUUGGCAAUGGGUUGACUUAUUGUGUUGUUUCCCGAUGAUAAUCGAUGAGAAUAAAGCUGUUCUUAUUUUUCGGGGGAUAUGGGUCAUUUUCAGCGAGGAGCUUGAUCAUCGAUUUUUAUGGGUUUUUCGACGAGCUGAUUCAAGGGGUGGGUCCAAUCGGUGGUUGUUUCGAUGAUAAUUUACUGGAAAGUUUAAAAAAAAAGUUCCUUUCUGUUACGUCAUCUUUUCUCAAUCUCUCUGUUUUACCCGCUCAAUCUCUCUUUUUCUCAUUCAAUCUCUCUUUUUCUCACUCAAACUCUCCCCUUUCACUAUCUCUCAUUUACUUUUCUCAGUCCAUUCUCCUCUCUCCAUAUUUUUUCUCUAUUCUCGUUCAAUCACUGCUUCUCCCCCUUCUCAUUGGUUUUGCAUGUGUAUGUGUAUAUGUGUGUGUGUGAAGUUUUUGGUGAGGUCUGUAAGUUUUUUUAUGAGUAUUUUAGAUGGUGAGUGUGAAUUUUGAGUGUGUAUUGUCUGUUCUCUUUCUAUGAAUGGAAAAAAUGAAGGAUUUAAUGAGAAGUGGGGAUUUUUUCUGUUUUGUCAGUGUGUAUAGAGUCAGUGUGAGUGUAUGCAUAUAUGAGGUGUAAAUUGUGAAAGUGUAUGAGAAAAACGUGAAUUUGGGGUGGGGUGGUUAGGAUAUGGUAAGGCGUCCAAAGUUAUGGAUCUGUUGUAAAUUUGUUUCUUUGUGGAAAAAUUAUUAAGUAGUGUGGGGUGUAUGGUAAGGCGAAGUAAAAUGGAUAAAAUUGACUUUUGGAGGGACAAAAUGUCUACAUCAUACCUCUCUUUGAAUGUAAACACAAGAUAUUUUCAGACAAAGAAGUAGACAACGAGACAGAAUUUUGUCCCGACCAUUAUUCAAAAGAAGGAAACAGAAGGAAGGAGUCAUCUAAGUCUUAAUUUUAGGCAUUCUACCUAUCUCAAGUUAUAUGGAAGUCAAGUCAUAUGUAGUUCGAGGAUUGACAAGGAGAGAGACUAUACCGAGUUGGAGAGUCGAGUAAGGUCCCAUUGACAUUCCGGUCCGUGGCUCUGUCAUUACAUCAAAAAUAAAAAUUAUAAGUUAAAAAAAUAACUGAAAUUACAAAAGUCCUAUUUAUGCAGCUUCUCUGGACUCUUGACUUAAGUUUCUGGUGCUUUUAAAAUUGACAAAAGUCUAUUUUUUUGGGUUAAACUUGAGAAUAAAUUCUUUCUCCAUACAAAAUUUGAUGUUGAAGAUGAACUUCAAAAAUUGACCAUGUCCUAUCAGUGGUACUUUUGAAUUUAACCGUGAAUUUGAAAAAUCUUCACCCUAUUCUCCAGGCAUGCUCCUGACUUACGAUUUCUUUACCUUGUUGCUUGGCUUUUAAUUUCUUCAUCCUGUUCUCUAGGAGGGCUCCUGACUUGCUAUUUCUUCAAAAUAUUGACCUCUAAUUUUUUCACCUUAUUGCUUAACUUUCAAUUUCUUCACCCUAUUCUCCAAGGGGCCUCCUGACUUUCUAUUUCUUAGUCUGUUGACUUUUAGUCUUAUCACCCUAUUCUCCGAGUGGCUUCCGACUUAUAAUUUCAUCACCCUAUUCUUCGAGAAGGUUCCUGACUUGCAAUUUCUUCACUCUGUUCUCCGGGUGAGCUCCAGAUUUGCAAUUUCAUCACCAUAUUCUUCAGGCGGGCUCCUGACUUGCAAUUUUCUCACUCUGUUCUCCGGCAAUCUCUCAACUUUGAAUUUUAUCACCCGAUUCUUUGAUUGGGCUCCCGAGUUGCACUUUAUUCACUCUGUUCUCCUGAUGAGCUCCCAAAUUGCAAUUUCAUCACCCUAUUCUUAAGGCGGGUUCCUGACUUUCAAUUUCUUCACUCUGUUCUCCGGGUGAGCUCUCUACUUACAAUUUCAUCACCCUAUUCUUCGAGUGGGCUUUCGAGUUGCAAUUUCUUCACUCUGUUCUCCAGGAGAGCUCCCGACUUGUAAUUUCAUCCCCCUAUUCUUUAGGCGGGCUCCUGACUUGCAAUUUUUUCACUCUGUUUUUGAGCAAGCUCUUGACUUGCGAUUUCAGCACCGUAUUCUUCAGGCAGGCUCUUGAAUUGUAUUUUCAUCGCCCUAUUCUUCAGGCGGGCUCCUGAUUUCAAAAUCAAGACUAGAACAAAAAUUAUCCCAACAAAGAAUAUAAUAAAGAAAGAUUCUAUUUUCCAGAAAAAUAAAGUCUCAUUUUUUGGAGGGUCCUAAUGUGAAGUUCCAAAUAGUAGCAAUUUUACUUUUUUCCCUAUUCAAUCAUCGAAAAAAAACUUCUAUGGGUGCCAAACCUAAGCAAGCAUACAUAAUGCAAAGAUGAAUCAAGACUCUGAUCAAUAAAUGCACCUCUUGAGGAUAAAAUUGAAUGACCAAGACCAACAAGUCCGUCUCUUAAGAUUAAAAGUAAGAUAUUCUAACGAAAAACUACAUCUUUAGGAUUAAAAACUCAAAUUACGAAGUGCACCUUCAAUCCAUGAGACAUAAAAGACCCAAAGUAGAGAGUGUAUCUCUUAGGGGUACAAGAUGAUGAUUUUUACCAUUAUUGUGAUUACAAAACCUGUACAGCAACACUGCUUCUCAUAUUUACAGAAAUGAGGAAUUACACCUCCGAAUAAUUGCACUUUGAAGCCUUUGAUUUGAAGGUAGCAAGUGUCCCUGUUUCAUACAAAGAAAACUUAUGAGUUUAAAAUAGAGGGUUAGCUUGUGGCUUUGGCUUUUGAGGCGAUUGCUAUUGCAUUUGUGACAUUUAAUCUUGCUUCCAAUUAAUAGCACAUCACUGUCUUGCUGAACCAUUUAAAAUUCAGAUUAUUAUGAGUGACUCUAAAACUAAUAUGGUAUCUCGGUUCUGCUAUGUUUCUUAUAUAAACUCCUUGAACCUUGGUAUCUCCAUGAAUCCCCUAAAAUUUUCUGUUGACAAAACUUUCUACAUGCCUUGUUUCGACUCACAAUCAUGUUUCUUUCAUGUACUAGCCUUUUGUCUUGCUUUGUGCAAUUGAAGAAGUUAGUAGCAAUUUUUGAAAUCCUUUCUCACUUGUUUUGACAUGACUUGACUAAAAAACAAGAAAAAAAUUAAUUUUUUAUUCAAAUGACAAACUCAGAAGGACAAAAAUAGAAAUAAAGAGAAGAAAGAAAAGACACCGUUUGUCCCUUUUUGAAAAUAAAAAAAAGAAAAGAUUUAUAUGAAAAUGACAAUCAAUUGUAAUGAUUAUGCCAUGCAUUUUUGGAUUGAGCUGCCUGAUCUUUUCAUCCAAACUUUCCACUAAUUGUUGUUGAGUUAAUGGCUCGAAAACUGAGUUGCUUGCUUAGGUCAAUUGCACUUAUAUACCUCAUUUGGCGAGUGACACUUUGAAGGGUUUUCGCCAACAAACCUCUCUCAUUUUUCUUUCUCUCAGCUCACCAUUGUCUUAUGAUGCCUGUGAGGGUUUUCACCAAUGAGAAUCCUUUAUUUUCAAUUCUCUCAACCUUAGUACCUGUGAGGAUUUUCAUCAAUGAUAUUCUCUCAUUUUCAUUUCUCUCAGCUCACCAUCAUCUUGCAGUGUUCUUGAGAAUUUUCACUAAUAAGACUCUAUGAGACUUUCUCAUUUUCAUUUCUCUUAACUCACAAUCGUCUUACGAUGCCCGUGAGGAUUUUCAUUGAUAAGACUCUCUUAUUUUUAUCUCUCUCAACUUACCAUCGCCUUAUAUGGCUGUGAGAGUUUUCACCUAUAAGGCUCUCUCAUUUUUAUUUCUCUCCUGAUUCCUUAUGCUGAGGAAGACAGGUAGUUCCCAAAAUGCAUCAUCAUAUGCAUUGUAUGCUUAGCCUUAUUAUUCUCAAAUAUUGAUAUGAAGGUGUUUCUUUGGCUGUAACUUGGCUUUUGGAUAGGAUUAAAAAGAAAGGAUGACAUGAGACCCAAACGACACUUAAAGUGGGGUGGGACUUAUAACUUUUCGAGUUGAUUCAAACAAUGAAGAUAAACUCAUGCCCUAGUUUUUUUUGACCGAGUAAUUCUAAAGUUUUUAUUUGGUUGGACCAAGACCAAAAGUAGGACAGCCUACGUAUCUUACCCCCGAGAGAGGAGAAUCAGGUCACACGUAUUUGUGGCAACUUGUUCUUUUGCUUGAUUCUGAUUUUUUUUCCUUUUUUGGUUUUAUUGAAUCCUUUUUUUCUUUGGAACUGUUUCUGACUCUACUUAUCUUGACACUUUUCUCUUUUAUUUCUUUUUGACUUACUUUCUCUCUUUUUUUUUUGAAACUUUUCUAACUCUAUUUUUUACUCGACACUUUUCUUGAACUUUGCUGACUCUAUAUUGAUUUCAAAAGAGGGGUAUGAAAGAAAAUAGAACUAAAGCUCAAACGGGGUAGACAAAAGAUGACAUAAUAUUUGGAUAGCAGAAUAAAAUGCCUUCAUCAUAUCAAUCCUUAAAAAAUUCAAGUACAUAACAUGCAAUAUGAAAGGGAAAGAUGAAGAUCAUGUGUGACAUUUUUUACACCACUAACUUUAACUAAGCCUAUGCGUCACUACUCUUCUACGCUUGUGUAGUGUACAACUCCACCUUUGUUAUAAUUCCUCACAUCGAAUGACCUAUGCUUUUGCAGAGCUGAUUUUCUUUCUAUUUCUCUUUAUAUAGAGUUGUGCAUCUAUUGUUUAACCUAAAUGAGAUAUGCCUUACAAUUGAUAACCAAGAUAUUCUUAUGAUUUUUAAAAUAGUUAUCUUAAUUAUCAAAUAAGGCUUCAACAUGGUCACCAAAUGUCUCAAUACUCUACCUAUUUUCUCAGAUGUUUCUUUUUUCUAACUUUAGCUCUCUGAUUUAAUGUUUCAUGAUUAAACUAAAUUUUAAGAUCUAGCUGAAAAUUUUGUAUGCAUGUCAUAACACUAAAACCAACAUAACAUGUGUUGUGUAAAGAAUAAAAAUAAACAACUUAAAAUAAGACAAAACAAUAAGAGACACCAUAUUUUAAUGAAAGGAAAGAUAGAAGGGUUUAAAUGAAGACAACAAAGAAACCAAACAAGAUAGAUUCCUAACUACAACCCUAAGAUAAUUCGAAAAAUAAAAAGAAAAAAAAAACAAACUGCCAACAAUCCUUCCUGGUAAGGAGAUGAGUGACUUUCUAAUUCCAGAGCUUGACAUCUUAUCUACUGAUUUGUACAUCACCAUGACUAGAUCUUUCACCACUGUCAAUGUUCUGCACCAUAAUUGAUUUAUCUUUUCUAUUUCUCUUUAUAAAGCACGACAAUCUUCAAUACUGCGAUCUUGAACAUCAGAAUGAUAUGCAUAUCAUACUUUAGGAUCAAAACUACUUGAAUGUGGGCCAGGAGUAUACCCAAGGAGAGGACUGAUCAUGCCCCGUUGUACUAAUCUCUGGAACAAACUGGCAUACGAUUCUCCAAUUGGAGUAAAAUUUUCUCUAGGAUUCUACCUCUUUUCAUCAUUUGACUUAGAUCGAACAUCGGACCUAGAAAGGCUUUGAUAUGUUUGUGGAGUUAGAGAAUGACUUUGAAAGUUGGUGCACGCCAUUAUGAGUAAGAAGGGGGUUGAAUAUAUAGUUGUGCGAUAUAUACUGGAUAUAAAAGUAGGGAAAUGAAGUAUAAUGGAUUUUGAGAGUUAUUAUAUAGAGCUUAGGUAUGAAAUUGGGCUUGAGACUGAGGGUAACGACGAUGCGGUUUUUUUUGACGUGCCCAUUGUCCAACUAUAAUAAAAACUAGAUCUUUCUCAUUCUUCUUUCCUCCAGAUUCCCUUAAUUAAUUGUAAUAUCAUCCCAAAUAUUUUUCAAAAUUCUCAUUUCCAUCAUGCUCCUCGAAUUUAGAUAUCUCAAGGCUUAUAGAAAGGUUAACACUGGAAUACAUGCCCCAAUUUUUAUAUGAAACAUCUUCAUAACCUGCAAAUCCAAGGGAGCUUUUCUUAGCAUUUUCUGUACUUUUUAUUUUUCCAAUCAUUUUCUAUGGCUCUUUUGGUACACAAGGCUUCUUGUUAAGAAAUUUUGGUGGUCCAAUUAACUUAAAUGUAGGCUCAGGCAUAUAGCAAUGAUCAUCCAUAGUAUUGAACAUAGACUCAUUAGCAAAUUCAAAAAGAACAACCGUUUGGUGAAUAGCCAUGGAAGCAUCAGUAGAAGGUUGUAUAAAUAAAGAAGAAACGAUAAGUGGUUCUAUCAGUGUGGUAGAUUUGUACUAAAGAGCUAAAGAAUGAGUGAUGGAAGCAUUGAGAUGCUUUUGGCUUGGAGUAAAUUCAGAGGCAUGUUGUGGCGCAUCAACAAUAACAGAAAAUUGACCUUGCAAUUUUGGUGAAAAACUCAAGGUAUUUGUAGGGUCAAUAGUGGGGAGUGGAGGAGGAGGCAUCCCACUGGCCCAAGCUCGAUACAUUUCCAUCAUUUGAUGCCUUAAACUCACAAUCUCUUGCUUUAAACUCCUAUUUUCUUGGCUCUCUAUCUGAUCCAUGAUGUCAUUCUCUAUAUUCUUGUUAGACAUAACUAACCCUUUGAUAUGAGAAUAAUCACGGAUAUGGACUUAUAAGAGUGCGUUUGGACCCGAGACUUGGUGUGUGCAAUUGAAGUGUAAAAUAUGGCCAAAACAUACCAAAAACAAUCCAAUUAUUACACUUGAUAGGUGCCUCACCCUUGAGGGGUAUUAUGGACAUUUUAGUUUUCCAUUUUGUAAUAGUUAUAUAGGGAACAUAUUUGGGUUUCUCUUGUUAGUUUUUUUUUUUUAUAAUGUUGUAAUUCAUAAGACACAAAGAACACCUAGUCCUCUCUCAUUUGAGGCAAACCAAAACUAGGCCAAAAAACUAGUGUGGAUUCACUAGUAAUUAUAUUUGCUUGGAAAAUUCGAUGCUUGAGAGGUGGAAUCCGAUCUAGUGUCACGUAAGAGAUAGGUGAAUUGUUGUGUGAAGUGUUAAGGGUCCAAAAGUGGAAUAAGAUCUUGGAUUCUUAAGAUUAUGCCUUCAUGUAGUCUAUCUAUCCCUUUGUUUAGUAUAAUCUUUUGUUGUUGUUUCUUGUGUUGUUUAAACCGUUGGUUAUUGUUAUUUUCAUCUUGUUGUUCAACUCAUGUAGUUACUGUUUUCUUGUUGUUACUCCUUCAAAAUCUCAUUAUUGUUGUUGUUUUCACGUUUUGGAGUUGUUAUUUCAAGCUCUCGGGUUUAUAGUGUGUUUGUGGACUAUUUUGGAUUGUUUAUGGUACAUUCCUUAUUUGUAGUGUAUCAUUUGUUAUCAGAUCCAUCUUUGAUUUUGUUCUAACAAAAUCAAUCUUGGGCUAGAGAGUUGGAAAAAAUAAGAAAAAACAGAUUUGGUGUUCUUGUUGUUCUUGGCUGAGAAGUUGUGAACUUGUUGUAUCUUGGCUGAAUAUUUAUGUGACUAGAUGUUGGUGUAUUUUAUUUUGUUUAGUUGUUCUACGUGUUGGUUUUUUUGUUCACUAACACUUUGAGUCUAGAUCUAAACUUGAGCUUAAACUUGUUGAAAGUUGUUGUUGUGAACAUUGUUGUUGCCGUAUGGUAUUGUUCUUGCUGUUGGGGAUGUAGUUGGACGUUGGUAUUGUUAUUGUAGAUCUUGAAAGGUUGUUGUCUUCUUGUUGUUUAUCACAACCUUCUUCCCUUGCUAAAUCGAAACACAACCCAAAAGAGACUAGGUCGUUUGUUGGAGGUUCGUAGUUGACCUUGUUGUGGAAUUGUUGUUGUUCAUGGAGAUUGUUAUUGGUUGUUCUUGUUGUGCUUACUUUGUUCUUGAAGUUCUUCAUCACAUUUUCACCUCGUUAAUAUUCAAGUGAACUUAGAUCUUCAAAAGGUGAAAUACAAGGCGUAGAACUUGUUAAAUCUUGAAAGACCCCAACCACCAAAGGGCUUUACAUCAUAUCUCAACCACUUUCCAUAAAACAAGGGUCCAUGUUUGAAGGAGAAGUACAAGUAUAGUCAAAGACUUUUGAGUCUUGAAAUUUGAAUUAAAAAAGGAUCUCCAAAGACUAGUUUGUAUUUCCAUCCAUUGAACAAUUUCCACCAAAGUCCAAAUUGUGAAUUAAUAUUUUUCAAGAAUCGAACCACUAGUGGAUUGCCACGUCACCAAUUACUGUUCACACGACAAAUUUUAAGUUCAAAUUUUGAUCUUUUAUUUUUAUUUUGUGUCUUUAGUUUCAUUUGUUGAUUCCAAUACUAAUUUACAAGCUAGUGACCAUUUACUAGAUUGUAAAUUAGUUUUGAAACCAUUCUCUGGGUUAACUUUCCUUUGUGUAUUUAAUUCUUUUGAGUUAUUGUAAUACGCCCUUGUGCGUUUUUCUUACUCUUUGGAGUUAUUGUAAACAUUUGAUUCACCUCUCAACACCUCUCGGAAUACAAGAAAGCUUGCAACACUUGAGAGAUUGAGUGUGAGAGAUCCGAGAGACAAGAAAUAAAAAGAGAGAGUGAGGAUAGUCUUGUACAACUAACGUGUUUUUAUGUUUUGUAGGUAACUUCUUGACCAUAAUGGAAACAAUUUUUGCUCACCUUGAAUAUAUUUCCUGAGAAUUGGCUAAACCAAAUGCGGGUUUUGAAAAAUUAGGCUCGAAUAUGUCUACUAUACUUUAGAGGUUGGAUCGAGUGGAGAGUCGAAGGAACUCUCAUGCUUCUACUCCCGAAACUUUACCUCAAACGAUCAAUCCUCCAAGACCACCACCAUAAGACAUAGACAUAAUCCAAACCACCAAAUGUCCUCAAACCCGAGACCUAAAUAUGUCACUUCCCCCUCAAUUCGAUCAAGUUCAACAAGAAGGACUUGGAAGCCAAUUUUCUCCCAUCAAAACUCCACAACCGAAGCUCCACAUUACCAAAUCAAUCCUCUCAAUCAAAACUCCACUUCACCAAAACCGAUAUGUCCCUAUAGAAGAGUGUGGUAGAAAGGAACAUGAGGGACAUGGAGUCUAUAAUAAUGUGUAUAUUACGGAAGAGAAUUUGAGGGGAAGACUUAGAGAUCCACAAGGAACCUGCCACCAAGAAAAGAGGUGAGAUGUGUUUUGGAUAAGAUUGAAGACAAGUCUCAAGAGGGAGAGGAAGCCGAGGUUUAAAAUGAAGAUAUUGGCCGAGACUUGUUGUCAUUGUACUCUUGGGUUCACCUUUGUUUGUGUAUUGUUUUUAGCUCAUUUUUGAUACGUCCCUUGUUGUUAUUGAGCUCUAGGGUUCUUCAUGUUUUACGGACUAUUUUGAGUGAUUCCUUUUGAAGUGGUCCUUGAACGAGGUGAAGCUGUGAAUUUGUGGUCAAAUUUCUCUCAAGAUGGAGAGGAUGAUGCGGGAAUAAUCACAGAUAUGGACUUAUAAGAGUGCAUUUGGACACGAGACUUGGUGUGUGCAAUUGAAGUGUAAAAGAUCGCCAAAACACACUAAAAUCAGUCCACUUAUUACACUUGAUAGGCGCCUCACCCUUGAGGGGUUUUAUGGACAUUUUAGUAUUCUAUUUUGUAAUAGCUAUUUAAGGAACAUGUUAGGAUUUCUCUAGUUAGUUUGUUUUUGCCAAUGUUGUAAUUCAUAAGUCAAAAAGAACACCAAGUCCUCUCUCCUUUGAGGUAAAUCGAAUCUAGGACAAAAAACUACUGUGGAUUCACUAGUGAUUGUAUUUUCUUGGAAACAUCAAUGCUUGAGAGGUGGAAUCUGAUCUAGUGUCACGUAAGAGAUAGGUGAAUUGUUGUGUGUAGUGUUAAGGGUCCAAGAGUGUAAUAAGCUCUUGGAUUCUUAAGAUUAUGCCUUCAUGUAGUCUAUCUAUCCCUUUGUUUAGUGUAAUCUUUUGUUGUUGUUUCUUGUGUUGUUGAAACCAUUGCUUAUUGUUAUUGUUAUAUUACUGUUCAUCUCGUGUAGCUACUGUUUUCGUGUUAUUACUCCUUCAAAAUCUCAUUAUUUAUUAUUGUUUUCACGUUUUGGAUUUGUUAUCUUCAAGCUCUCGGGUUUGUAGUGUGUUUGUGGACUGUUUUGGCUUGUUUUUGGUACAUUCCUUGUUUGUAGUGUAUCACCCUUCCUUUGAUUUGGUGUGAUGUGGAGGACCAUCCGAAAUGCCACAAACCAACCACUUUAAACUAACUAAACAAGAGAUGACAAAUAUGUUAGAGUUCAACACUUUCUCGAAAUCUUUUUUUUAUUUUUUAUUUUUUUGGUUUUGAAAAGGUCACCGAACCCAAAAUGGCACCUACGUAUCUCACUUCCAAGAGAGGAGAGUCAAAUGUGCGUAGUUCAUGAAGUUUCGGCAUAGCAUGACCAAUAAAAUUCUCUUUCUUUUUUUUUUUUCUUGAAACUUUAAGAAUAAAAGAAAACAGAAAAGACAUCAUUUCCCUCCUGAACUUGUCCGCUCAGCUUACUUUAGCACUUAAACUAAACUUCUAUUUAUUUAUCCCCCUUAACAUCUUUAAAGUGUAUUAUUUAAAAACUUAUAUGGUCCCACCUCUUAAUAUAUAUAUAUAUAUAUAUAUAUGUAUAUAUAUAUAGACAUCCUUUUCUCUUUAAUGACCCACACCCCUACCCUCACCCUUCACUGCCUUUUUUCAUUACACCACCACUACUCUUCCUUCAACCACCAAUUUUGCCACCACCAACCACCCCUCUAACCCCCACCCCCAUCACACCCCCACAUUAAUUUCUCAUCCCCAAACUCGCCAACCUUCACCCCACUCCUCCUUCAAAUAUCAAUUUUACCACUACCAGCCCCACCAACCCCCAAUUUCUUCUUUUUCAAUUACUAAAUCCUUCACUCUCACCUCCAAUUUCUCCUCCUUCAAUCCGUUGACUUAAGAUUAUUAAAAAAAAUGAAAUUGGAUUUCAAAAAUUAAAAGUUAUCUAUGUGGCUUUGAAAAAGAGACUUUGGGAUGGUAAUCUUGAAUUAAGUGAAGACUUAGUCAGAACUCAUAUGAAAUUUUUUCUUCCAUGUAAGCUAUGACUAAAAUGGCGGGACUAAAACUACCAACGGUUAUUCAAUCUUUUUAUUUAUUUUUUAAUUAAUUAUGUUAUAUUUUUGGUAAUUUGGUUAUAAAUCACUUGACCAUUUUGGCCUUAGAUCCUUUAGAAGUAUUGAUUCUGUUGUUUUUUCCUUAUAUAAAAAUAAAAAAAGAUAGGCUUUAUCCCUUUUUGCUGUGGGAAUUCAUCCGGUUGAAAUCAUGUUUGCAGGGGUGGGGGCUGGGGUUUAGUGAAGAAAAAAAUAAAGAAAAUGGUGCAUGCAAGGUGGGGUUGGGAGUGGGGGUAGGGGAAGAGGGUGGAUGGGUGUGAUGAAAAAAGAAAAAUGGGGUGGGGUUAUUUUUUGAUAAUUAUAUAUAUAUAUAUAUAUAUCUGUAUGUAUGUAUGUAUUUAUAUAUAUAUAUAUAUUAUGUGGAUUCUUUUAAAAAAAUUAGUAAAUUUUUAUGUGGCAAUGACAUGGCACUGAUAUGACAAUGAUGUGGUGCGAGUGUAGUGCUCUCUCCAUUGUGAGAGUGGUAAUUCAGCUUAAGGGGUAAAAUUAAUACACUUUAAAGAUGUUAAGGGGGUAAAUAAAUAGAAGUUUAGUUUAAGUGCUAAAGUAAGUUGAGCGGACAAGUUCAGGGGGGCAAUGAUGUCUUUUCUCUAAAGAAAAUAACAAAUUAUCAAUAGAAUUGACAAAAAUCUUUUGAAUUUUCUUAGCUUUAACAUCCUUAUACAAAAUGAAACCUAUUAUUACCGAAGAUUUUCUUUUGGGUUUUUGAUUUUGAAUUUCAUACGAAGAUGAAACUUGAAACUAUUAAGGAAAAUCUUUUAUAGUUUUCUUUUAAAGAUGUAUAUGAAAUACCUACUGCUAUAUGAAGAGUGAAGAAAAUCUUUUUGAAUUUUUUAAAUAAUAUCACCGAACUCACGAAGGGUUGCCUACGUAUCUCACUCCCGAAAGAGAGAAUCAGGUGUGUGUAGUUCGUCCUGAUUGAACAAUUAAAGAUUAAUAACUAACUGAACCCUGACUUGAGAGAUACGACCUCAAAUAGACCAGGAAAAACGUCAAUAAAAUCUUUUUUUGGAUUUUUAAUUUGACACGUCAUAUAAAAAUGACACCAACAAUUAUGAAACUUACAAAACUUCUAUCAUAUUUUUUUGAAUUAUCUUUUAUAAAAACCUCCUAUUAAUUUUUUUUUUUGAAAAUUUUGAAUUAUGGAUGUUUGCUAAAGGAAACAAAGUAAUUUUUUUUGAUUUUUUUAAAAAAUGACACACAAAAGGUGAUUUUUUUUUUUAAUAAUUGUUGAUUAUGAAAACAAAAGCCAUAAAGAACUCUAAAAACUACGAAACCCUCAUUUUUUGACUCAUUUUUUCUUUUUUUUUAACCUAUUCUAGCAUAAACACACGAUUUCCCCAAAUCAGUCCGUCAAAUAACCCUCAAAGAUUCAACAAUUAGCACAUAGGGAUGCUUAAGGGUGAGUCUCCUACAAAGGAACAAAUGGUUCCCUACGAUUAGUUUCCACCUACUCCAUACAUCAGACGGCUCACCCUCCUAAAAUAAGGGUGACUCAACUAAAGUUCAUGUACACGACGUGUAUUCAGGGACUUGUUUCAAAAGACUGACUCAGGGUAAUGCAUAUGCUGCCAGUUAUAAAUCGGUAACACAUAUGAGAAAAACUGUAAACACGUAGCACGUAGGCACUUAACAAUGAUAAAAUGAUAACACAUGCGACAACAUAAACAAAUGUCUAUUCAUCUAAAGUGUCAAAAUAAACCGAUACAACUCAAAAUAAAUCUAGAAUUAUAAAAAAAUUCUCCAGUGGAGUCUCCAGAGAAGUCAUACCUUUUUUUACCAAAAAGAUUCAUUUUAAGUUACAAAAGGGUUUUAUUAUUAAGUGACAAAAGAAAAUGAUUUGUUUCGAAAAGGACUUUAACAAUCAAAACUCAGAGUCGGCACUUGGGAUAAAUAUGAUGUGCCAAGUCACCUCUUGAAAUAUUUUUUCAAAAUGAUUUUUGACUCUUUCAAAAUUGAUCCACGAAAAGUAAUUCCGGCUAAGGAAUUCUAUUGAUCGAGGGAAAGGUAUUAGGCACCCCUCAGUCCCGUGGUUUAACCAUGGUUGCUUCUUGAAGUAUAUCGGCUAGUACAAUACUAUGAAAUGUAUAAACCAACAAAAACACAUAAAUAAGAAAACAAACACCCAAAAUAAUAAAAAAAUUCAAAAAUAGUGUCUAGUCCAAUUUAUUACAAACCAAAAUUAAAAUGCUGAAAUAAAACCUAAACUAUUCUAAUAGUCCUAGCUAUGCUUUACCCGAUGCCUUGGGCCUUGAUCAUGAACCUCCUUUGCAUACAUGAUACUUUGGAGCAUUCCUCGGUGAAUAAGUACAAUGUGACCUGUCACAACCCAAAUGGCCAUGAAUGGCACCCACACUAAUCUUCCUGUGGAAGAACCAUCUAAACCAAACCAUUACCCAAACACUUAUUCAAUAUUAGAUGAUACUAUUAUAAAAUUCAACAUAAUAACAAAUAUCCAGGACUAAUUAUUAUUAAUGUAAAAAUUCAAACAAACUACUUACUAAAAUUUCCAAGACUCGAAAGUCAUCGUACAAGAACUACUAACAAAGAUCAUAUCUAAAGUGAUAUCUAAAAAUAAAGUAAAUAAAGAAUGCUUCAUUGCACAAAAGAUGGACAAGAACAAAUAAGAUGACCCAUGGAAGCCUGAAGAUGGAGUGCUCACCCUUGGAUCAAGAUUUGCUAUCAAACUCUAGAGGUGAGGUCAUGUCUGAGCCUCUAGAAUACUUUCUGCACUCAACAAAAGAAGAGUACAGGGUAGUAUCAGUACAAACCACUAUGUACUAGCAGGUAUAAUAGGCCAACUCAAUUUAGUAACAUGUACACAACAUAAAUCAAAUAACAAGUAGACCGGCAUUGUCACACAACAAAUGUUCAAUGAAUCAACAAUACAGUAACAACAUGUCAAAUAGUGCUCACAAACAAGCCACAUAACCAUCAAGAGUAUCAAUCAUACUGUAAACAUCCACAAAAUCAACACAAAUAUGUACUUAUAUGCUAUGAGACUUAUUUUUUCUGAAAUAGUUAUGACCUACAGAGAACAAUCUGUGUUCAUGUAUCGUACCAGCGUGGUACCCGAUCCAACAUAAAUAUAAAUGUACCGACGUGGUACCCGAUCCAACAUAAAUAUAAACGUACCGGAGUGGUACCCGAUCCAAUAUAAAUGUAAACGUAUCGGUGUGGUACCUGAUCCAACAAAAUAUAAACGUACCGACGUGAUACCCAAUCCAAAAUAAAUAUAAACAAGUAUUAUCAAUAUAAAUUUACACAACCUCAUAACAUGCCACGCAAUGUACCAAGUUUACAAGUACACUUAAAGUCAUAAGACCAUUCCAUCAAGUCAAUUUUCAAUAAACAUUUAUACACGAAUCAACAAUCCGAACAUCAAUAAUUUCAAGCAUGUCCGAAUACCAAUUCAAAAGUAUCCCAUUUAGGAGAACACACAUAAUUAAGUUGAUUCUAAACUCCAAUUAAACCGUAACCUACCUCAACUGAAGAACUCAAAUACAAGCUAUCUUGCAAGGGUCUUACCCUUCCAUAAAGCUUCCAAAUGUUUUAAAUCUAUUUCUAUACAUAAUAUCCAUAAAAAUAUGAUAUAGCACGUCAAAUUUAAUCUAAAAUGGAUCAUUGUUCGACUCCCAAUUUAAGAAUUUCUAAUCUACAAAUCCUAAUCGAAUAACUAAAUUUCUCAAAAUCAUAAUUGUUGAUACCAGUGCGGAAAUCCAAGGCAUAACAUGAGAAACUGUAGCACUACAAAUUCAUCAAUUGACUAAUUAUUAUUAUUACUAUUCAUAAUUUCCCAAUAAUUAACUCAUAAGCUUUUGUCCUUAUUAAGAAUUAUUGCCUAGAGAUAAGCUACUAGCAAAACAACUAAAAUUAUACAAGUUCAAUUGUUACAACCAAAAUUUCUUAAUCGUACUACUGCCUUUGACAUUGGAAAUCAAUUUACUCUGUAGCUUCCUAUUAAAAUAUUAACAAUAGUUCCAACAAGCUAACCUGAAGGUUUAUUGAAACUCUUCUCUUCUCAAAUCUGCCUAAUGUUAACGCCAUAUCCUUUGUUCAGCCGCUACUAUUAUUCUACCCUUUCUGGUGCUACUUUUAUUAUAAUACAGGGUAAACUCUUCCCACUUAAAUUGAGUUUAGUUCUAGCCACAUAAGUAAUUGAAAUAUCCAAGACUUUGAAUAGAUCAUUAAAAUUUAUCGGGAUCUCGAGAAAAUAGUUUAAAUGAUGACUUAAAUCCCUUUUGUACUUUACAAAAAUUAAUACUAAUCAUUUCAUAGGUCAUAAAUUCACGUACGCCAAUGACAGAGAGAGCUAGAAUAGGAAAGACGAAUAGAUUUCACAAAUGAUCAGGAAGGUCGUUACAUGAUAUCGGGGCAUUCCCAGUGAAUGAAUACAUUUGAUGAAAUGCAAUAAAAGUAGAGAAAUCACUCAACACAGACAUUUACACAUUCAAUGAUAUAAAAUCGUAUGAGUUAUCUACCCCAAAACCUAAGAUUGCCUAUCAAUUCUUGACCUAAAAUAUGAUACCGUCGAGUUUGAAAAAACUAACAUCCAUUUCAAAUCCAACAACAAUUGAUUAAUCAAAACACAAAAAUAUUCACUUUUAACGAUUUUGAAGUCCCGCCCCCCAAUUGAAUUCUAAAUCAUAGUUUCAACAUAACAAUUCAUGAUUAACAUUUCCAACAAUCCACUACCAAUAUAAUUCAACAUUCAUCAUUUACAUCACACACAAGAUAAGAAAAAGUGGAUAAGAUAAUGAUCAAUCACAUACAAAAAUAAAGAAUUAACUAAGAAUAAGAAUGAAAUAAAGAGAUGGACCGCAAAUUGGGGUUUUCAAGUUAUGAGUAUUAUUUGAUCAUACUUUUGACCUCAAACCGAGCAGUUGAAUGGAGCUCACGAACAGGACCUUAUCAAAAACUCGAAUCAAAAUCUUCGAUUCAGAAAUCGUCGACCCAAACUUAAUUUGUACCUAAGCCCCAAUCAUUUUUCCAAUUCGUCUUGGCACUGGGUUGACUUAUUGAGUUGUUUAUCAAUGAGAAUCAAUAAGAACAGAUUUUUUCUUAUUUUUCUGGUAGAUAUGGGUCAUUUCUAGUGAAGAUCUUGGUCGCUGGUUUUUAUGGGUUUUUUGGCGAGCAGAUUUAAGGGGUGGGUCCAAUCAGUGGUUGUUCCAGUGAUAAUUCUUCAAAAAGUUCAAAAAAAAUUCCCUUUAUGUUACAUCAUCUUUUCUCAAUCUCUCUAUUUUACCCAUUCAGUCUCUCUUUUUCUUAUCCAAUCUCUCCUUUUAUCGCUCAAUCUCACCCCUUUCACUAUCUCUUAUUUAUUUUUCUCAGUCUAUUCUCCUCUCUCCUUAUUUUUUCUCUAUUCUCAUUCAAUCACUGCUUCUCUCCCUUCUCAUUGGUUUUGCAUAUGUAUAUGUAUAUGGGUGUGUGUUAAUUUUUCGGUGAGGUCUGUAAGUUUUUUAUGAGUAUUUUGGAUGGUGAGUGUGAAUUAUGUUUGAGUGCGGGUAUUGUCUAGCCUUUUCCUAUGAAUGGAAAAAUGGAGGAUACUAUGAGAGUCAGGAAUCCUUUCUAUUUUGUGAGUGUGUAUAGAGUUCGUGUGAGUAAAUGCGCCUGUGAGGUGUAAAUUGUGAGAGUGUGUGAGGAAAAUGUGAAUUUGGGGUGGGGUGCACAUGGACAGGGGUGGGGUGGUUAGGAUAACGUGAGGUGUCCAAAGUUGUUAUGAAUUUGUUAUAAAUUUGUUUCUUUGUGGAAAACUUAUAAGAAAUUUGGGGUGUAUGGUAAGGUGAAGUAAAAUGGAUUAAAAUGACUUUUGGAGGGACAAAAUUACGUGUCUACAACCCCGGGCACCAUGAUGAUAAGACACUGAGUUCAAGUUCCUACGAAUUAUGAUCGAUACAACUUCAUAUGGGUAAGACGUUGAGUUUAAGUCCCAACAUGAUAUAUUGAUGACUUAAGUAAAAUGAUAUAUGUUUGAUAAAAAGUCAUGAAACCCACCACAUUAUAUUGAUUUUCUCCAUUCCUUGAUGUGAAUGUGGUAGUUGUGCAUAUAAGUUUGAAAGAUGACAAACAUUAACUAUGAUUGUACAAAUUAUAAGUCUGAAAGCUGACAAAUAAUUGUAAUUGUACAAAUGAAUGUGGAUGUAGCAUAUGAAAAUGUAAUCAUAGUCAUUAUUGUGGUAAUUAUAAAAGAAAGAACAUUAUGAGUUCUCAAAAUGAUAUUCCAUAAGUGAAGGUAAUUUUUUUUGCCAUUAGUUUGGUAUAAAAGAUCAAUGGGCACACGGUUAUCAUGAGAUCUUAUUUGAUAAAUGUUAAAAAUCCUCUAUCAAAAGAAUAUAACGUGAUAGUACAUUUAAUCUUUCAAAAUGAUGUUGAGGUAUGUAUCAUAUUAAUGUUAAGACAUUGAGCACAUACAAUAUAUUAGUUGGUUUCUUAAAGAGAGUGUGACUUGUGAUAAAUAUCAUGGAUGCCCAACCGUUCAUGAAAGUGAAUGUGUCAAGAUGUGAUUCAUGGACAAAGAUGGGCUUAUAUAUGAUUGGAUAAACAUCAAAACCUCCCUCUACGAGAUGUUUGAAAUAGAUAAAGAAUAUUUUAAUUUGUUAUAAAAAGGUUGAUGUUGUAGUAUAUUUUAUCAUGAUCUACAGAAGGGAAAAAUCAAGAAGUAAUUCUUGCCUAUAAAAUUUUUAGUCAUGGACAAAAUGAAUAUUAUGGUGUGGUCGAAUAAAUUUGUCAAGGUCGCGUAAAUAUGGUACGCCAAAAAGGAGUUUGCCAAAUGUUAUAAAAAUAAAUUAUUAAAGGAAAAAGUAAAGCUAGAAAGAGGUCUUGCAUAAAAUGAUUUUGACUAUAAUGACAAUAUUUUUCUCCCUAAAAAGAGGUGGUCACCAUACAAAUGUUUUUUAAAAUAUGAGGUAGUACACAAGUAUUUAAUAGCCUCGAAAAGCUAAUGUGUUACUACUUGGAGGAAUGAAAUUAUUCAGGUCAUUGAAAUUUUAGUAAGUCUCCAAAAGAAACUUUUUAAGUUUCAAGGAAAUUAAAAAAUAUAUUAUUAUAUUGAGACUGUAAAUUAUGAAAAGAUUUUAUAUCUUCAUAUUACUACAAUCAAAACUGGUUAUAAAUGUUUAUGAAAAGGCUAUUCGUUUUCCUCCUGUUUAUUGAUACAAAUAUAUGGGCAUGGUGAUGGAAUCACAUACUGUAGUAAAUUAAAAGUUUACAGAAAAUACAUAAGUUGGCAUGAUUAGUUGACUGUUUUGAUUCAAAUGUGAUACAAAAAUAAUUGAGAAUUAAUGUUGUUUUGCAUUGAAGAAAUAAAAGAUUCUUCAAGAAUUCUUUUAUGUUGCUUGUUCUCACGAUAAAAUAUUAUAACAACUAAGGUUAUGGAUGUAUCCCCUAAAUUUUUUAAAUGUACAACAAGGUGAAUAUGGGCCCGUUCACCUGCCAUGUAACCAUUUGUUCUGAAAUAGAUGCAUCUAUGGUUUGUCACAUGCACUGCUAUCAACUUGCAAUUUCAUUUUUGCAAGGUUAUUUGCUCAAAUUGUUAAAUUGAGAGCAUGGUUUCAAACUAUAAAAGUUGAUAAUGCUGAUUGUUUUAGAAGAAAAUGGUGUGGCUCCAAUUAUAGCUGAACGAUUAGUUAUAAGAACAAAUCUUCCAAAAAGAAAAUUUUGUAUGAGAUGAUUUUAUUUAAAUAUAGCAACAUUUGUAAGCAUCAAGCCAACAAGGUUCUCCUAUAUUGUUGGUUCAAGGUCAGGAACCAAUUAAACCAUCUAAAAAUAAAUUUGAAUGUACAAUAUCCACCACGCAUAAAGAUGAAUCCCAAAAAAAAAAGAUUAGGGUGGAUGUUAGAUUUUCUAACAUUAGGGGGAGAUAUGAUUAUAGAUAAAAUGUAUGAAAUGAAUUAUCAAUAUUCUCAUAAAAAAUAUAUAUUGAACUUGAAGUUCAAUUGAUAAUUCAUGAUUUGCAAGAUGUUGCAAGUCCAUUGCAAGAUUGAUCCUAUUUUAUAGUUCAGCUGUAAAUGCUCUAGUGAAAAGUCCUUGAAGGAAAGAGUCUAUGGCACUCAUGAAACAUGAUAGACCAAUUGGUUUCAAUAUAAAACUCUUUUAAAAAAAGAGGAGCAAAUGAUCAAGAUGGUUUUGAUAAUGAGGCAAGUGCUUUAAAAAGAACCAGGACAUAACACUUCAUAAAACCAUGGUAAAGGUUUAGGUACCUGAAAAUGAUGAAAUGAAUAGAUCUCGAUAAGUUAUCUCUUAUUAAAAUUGAUUUCAAAUAACCACCGAUGGUAUUUUUGGUAUAAUAUAGUGCUCAUCAUUAUAAAUAGUAAUGAAGAUCUUGAAUUUAGAUCUAUUGAAUAGUGCGGACAGAUAAAAUACGCAAUUCAACUAUAGUAUGUUUCACUUGAAAAGUGAUAGUUUGAAAUUGGUCCAUAGACUAAGGUAUAAUGCUAGGGGGAUACAAAUUGGUGAUUGUGCAAAAAAUAAAAUUGUAAGAUAUAAAAUACUACUUGUGCCUUGAGGCAUAAAGGUUAUUUGCCAAGUCUUCACUAUUGUUUGGAGAUGUGUUUUCCUAUGGUUGAUGCAAUAAAAUUUAUUUAAAUCUAACAAUGUAUGAAAAUCUUGAAUGUGUAUAACGAAUGACUGCCAUGUCUAGUUAGACGACGAAUGUUAUAGGAAAAUCCUUAUAGAAUUUAAAAGAGAUUUGAUCCAUUAAAUAUCCUAAUGAUUGCGAUAUCACGUAUCAUAAAGAAAGAUAAAUUUUUAUCUCAUGAAAAUAGUUAGAAAACAUCAUCUAUUAGUACAAUUAUUGCACUUAUGUAUCCUGCUAUUCUAUACGUGAGAUAAUAGCUUUUAUUACUGUGCAGAAAAGAUAUAAUUUCAUUUUUAUGUGAAUGUGAGUGAAAUCAAAUAUUAUUGAUAUGAAUUUAUUAUUUCUAAAAAAUAUUGUCAAAGGCUUGUUGGUUAUGCAAAUACGGGAAGAAUAUUUGAUCUACGGUCAAUUUUGAUGUACGGUCAAUUUUAAUAAUAGACAAAUGAAGUUUGCACAACUAAUUGGUUGUUGCUACGAACAAGUUCAAUGUACAAAUAGAUUGCGAUGAUGAGGUCACAUAUAAAGUGACUUUCAAGAAUUUAUUUGACUGAGCUCAUGGGUUCAACAUAUCCAAGAAACAAAAAAACAAUAAAUCAGGAUGAUUUUUAGAAUGUAACAUCUUCAUGAAUGUGAUUUGGUCAUAACAACACAAUCAAUAUUAACAUUUGAAAGCAUACAAAGAAGAUUGGAGGCAUCGUCUUUGAGAAGUGGAAUGAUGUUUGCAUCAGGGGGAGUAAAAUAUGGGCUGCCCUCUUUUUACCUUGGCCUAGGUUUUGUCCCAAUGAAUUUUGCUGGUAAGUUUUUUAAUGAGGCAACAAAAAAAUGCGUAUUAUAAGAUAUGUGUACUCUUUGUCCUUCUCUAGGAUUUUUUUCCACAGGUUUUUUUCCUAGUAAGGUUUUAACGAGGCACAUUAUCUAUGGACAUCCAAUGGGGAGUGUUAUAAAACUAAUAAGUAUGGAUGUCCACUACUCUAGAAAUUAAUUCCACUAAUUGUCCCCAUUAUUCACAUCCAUUAUGAAGAUAACCUCCACCAUUCAUGACCUGCAUUCUUGUGACCUUACACAUUCAUAAACUCCUCCAUUAUGUCAAUGGUUAAUGUCAUGUUUAUGACAACCUUUUGUAUCCCUCAAUAUGACACUAUGAAUAGAGGCAUAAGGGUUCAUACUGCAUAUACUCGUACAUUUGAUAUUUGGAAGAAUGAAAAGCUUUCAUCUACUGUCUACUCUCAAUAUUUUUUUAUCUACUUUAUUGUUUAUAAUAUUUAUCUUUUGGCUUAGUAUUAAAAUAGUUACCUCAUUAUUUUUAUUCGGUCAAAUUUAUUGCCUCUUUAUUUAGGUUUUAGGUCAUUGUUCCAAAAAUGUCGUAGAAACAAAAUAGUUUAGGUUGGAAUGGUGUUCUUGCAACAGUUCGAUGUUUGUAACUAAAGUUAUUUAAAAAAACUUAUCUAAGGUUCAUCAAGAACUUGAAAAUGACAACGAUAAUUACCAUUUCUCUGUUUAGACGUCUUGUAUGGUGAUUCAACGCUGAUUUUUUAAUAUUUAGGUGAAAGUAAUUUUUUACUUUUAAAUGGAUAAAAGUAGACCAAUUUAGCAUGUAUAAAAUUCCUCUUCAAGGUUUUUGAAAAAGAAUUUCGGAAAAGGAAAAUGAUGGGAUGCUAUAGUGAAGUGGCCUAGCUUGGAGAAGAUUGAGAAUUAGUAAGUGGAGAAAAUUGAAGGAAAGGUGUCAUUUAAGGUCUUGAAUGAAGGAUUGGUGACAUUGACCAACUUAAAAGGUCAAACAUAAGUAGAAAACGUAAUUAAGUUAAUAGUGGACUUGAUUAAUAUUUUCAAAAUUUUCUAAUCUUUUCAAAAAUACAAAUUAACCCACACCCAUCUUGUCUCCAAAUCAACCGUCUCUCUUCUCUCUCUCGAAAGUUUCUCCCAACCAACAGUUCUGCAAAUUUCUCAUUUCAAUCUCCGGCGACUUUAACCUCGAACAACAAAUAGUUGGGCUUUAAGUUCCUUUUUGACUUUCAACUGUCAAUCGAUAUGACACCUUGCUCUUCGACCAGAACAGCUACAAAUUCUUCAUCAUCCCUUUUCUUCUUUCACAAGUAAAAAAUUAUGGCCUUUUUAGUUUUGAAGAAAAUAAGGAACUUGAGCCAACUUCUCUUCUAAUAUUGGUUAAUAAUUUUAAUAUUUAUUGCUUUAAUUUGAAAUAUGGUCUGAAUAAAAUCCUACUUUCUGGUAUUUUUUCUCCUCUUAUCAGUGUGAAUUAUGAUUUUUUGUUGUUUGUUGUAUUUUUGUAAGUUUGAGUUUCUUUAUUUAUGUUUAUACAAAUAAAACAACGAUGUUGGUGUUUUUUGUGUUGCACCAAUUGCUAGGUUGAUUUGUUCUUGUUCUUGGUAAAUAUGGUGAUAUUUCUGUUGUUCUAUUGAACAAAAUCAUGCUACUAUUUUUGUCUACAAUAGAUUAACUAUUUGAUGCAAUAGAUUAACCAUCUGAUACAAUAGAUUUAACAUAUAAUGCAAUAGGUUUAACAUAUAAUGCAAUAGAUUAACCAUCUGAUGCAACAAAGGAACCAUCAGAUUAAAAAUUUGAUGCAAUAAAUUAACCAUAUGAUGCAACAGAUUAACCAUCUGAUACAAUAGAUUAACUAUCUGAUGCAAUAGAGAAACCAUUGAAUUAAAAAUAUGAUGCAAUAAAUUAACCAUAUGAUGCAACAGAUUAACCAUCUAUUGCAAUAGAUUUACCAUCGGAUGCAAAAAAGAAACCAUUGAAUUAUAAAAUUUGAUGCAACAUAUUAACUAUCUGAUACAAUGAAGGAACCAUCGAAUUAAAAAUUUGAUACAAUAGAUCAAUCAUCUGAUGCAAUAGAUAAACCUUCUGUUGGAUAAAUCUCAUCAACUAUUCUAACAAGACAUGUCCAAGACUUAAUUUUUCCAACUGAUCGUUCAUCUGUCAUGAUAGACGACCUUUUUAUUGGAAAAAAUCUAAACAAUAUUGAUCGUUGAUAACUGUUUCAACAAUUCACUCAUAUAUUGGAACAGAUGUGUGAUAUGUUGCACAGACCAUUCAUUUGUCUCAAUAGAUGAGUGAUAUGUUUUAUAUUAUUGCAAGAGAUUACUCAUCUAUUUAAAUAGGUUAGUUAACUGUUCCAACAGAUCACUCAUAUGCUGCAAUAGAUGUGUGAUCUGUUGCACAGACCAUUCAUUUGUCUCAACAGAAAAGUGAUGUUUUUUAUAUUAUUACAAUAGAUUGCUCAUCCGUUAUAAUAGGUUAUUUAUUUGGUACAACAGAUAACCACCUGGUGCAAUAAAUGUGUGAUCUGUUGGAACUAUUAUUUUUCUAUUUUGCAUGUUAGAUUUACUGUUACCCCUUUUUAAUGAUACAUUAAUCAACUAUAAUCUAUUUUAUGUUCUUGUUAAUUUUAGAUCCUUUUUAAUGAUGCGUUAAUCAACUAUAAUCUAUUUUGUGUUCCUGUUAAUUUUAGAUAAUAUGGCUCCCAAAAGAACAGAAAUUGCAUCAAGUCCAAGUAAAGAAACAAGUGAAGCAACUUGACUACAUCGACCAUUCUAUGAGAGCUUGCUUUACAAGUGGUAUCUUAAUAAAGAGCAGAAUAUUAUGAACAUGAAGAGGAGGAAUGUUUCAAAAGAAAUGAUCCAAAUGCUAAUAGCCCUUCCACCAAAGAGUUGGUCAAAACCUUUAGCAUUGAUUACUAUCCUUUGAGAAUAUAGUGCGAUGGUACGAUAGAUUUAACGGGUGAUUUUGUGGUUAAGUCAUCCAUGGGAAAAUCUUUCGACGCCUUUAGAAAAAUACUUCAAGAAUAAAAAUUGGAUGGUUAUUUCAGGGACAGCUGCUUCAGGCAAUAUCUUGAUUUGCCGGAGGACAACAGUGCUUGUUUCUAAAUAAAAAUAGUAUAUGAUCUUCUCAAGCGUAGGUUUUUAUAUGAAAACAAAGAUAAGAUGGAUGAGGUGUAGAUAAAUUACUGUGCUCUGCCUGUUUGUUUUAGUUGGAAGGAGUUUGCCAUAUUUACUGGAAUAAAAUGUUAUCCUCCUUCUCCUUCUUAAGCUAUACCUAUUCUAAUCCCAAAAAGCACCCCAUACAUACAAAAAGGCAAAGUUAAGUUGAGUGAUCAUGCUAAUGUGGUGUCUAUUGUUGGUCCAAGCUUCAAAAAUAAAAAUUUAAUAGAAGCGUUGAAAGGUAAAAGAAUUUCAAAGAAGCACAAGCAAUCAUUGUGCUUGGUUUGGUUUGUACAUAAUAUUCUUUGGGCCAGAAAAGUUAAAAACAACAUAACCGUUGGUUUAAUAAAGCUUUUCGAGGAUCUUGAGGCAUUUAACAGCUAUCCUUAGGGUUAUGAAAGCUUCAAAAUGACUGUCAAAUAUUUGUUGACUCCAUUAAUGCCAAAGACAGUCAACUUACAUGGCUUUUUGUGGGCUUUCAUGGUAAAUGUUUAUUUUAUUAUGAUAUGAUUCAUUUUUUAUUCAAUAAUAAUUUUGAUUUAUUGGUGUUAUUUUAUAGGCAUGGGCGUUUGAAGUCAUUCCUUAUUUGAGACAACAAGUGAACUAUCAGGAAGAAGUUUCAUGUCCAAGAAUCUUGAGAUGGUUGUCGGCCAAAACUGAUAAAAAUAUAAAAUUUCUUGAUCUCUAUAACCCCCAAAGGAUGCAGUAAAUAUAAUUAUAAUUAAGUUUUUAUUUUAAUUAAUGAUAUUUUUGAAUGAUAUGAUCUAAUUUUCAUUCUAAUAUAUGUAAUGAUUUAUGUUAGAUUGUGCAUUCGUCAGUUGUUCCGACCAAUCGAGAGUUGAAGAUGCUAUUUUUUCUUACUUUAUGGUCUGUGAAACUUUAUCAGACCCUAAGGUCAUUGAAAAAAAAAAAAUAAAAUUAUUUGGAGCAACAACCAUCACAAGAAAAAUAAUUUUGGAGGGUGGGCUUGUUGUUGUUGAUAGUCUUAGUGGUGAUGGAGCUGUUGGUGGUUGUAGUGUAAUGACCCUUACGGUCAUUUUUAUGUAUUUUCAUUUAAUUGUAGUACUAUCUAAAUGUAUCGUGAAUUAUUUAAUUUAAUUUGGCAUUUGGUAGAAAUAAAAUUUAGUACCCUUCUAGAAUAUUUUCGAUGUCGGUAAAAUUCUUUAAGUGAUGAUAUAUUUAUAUCACUUUAUAAUAGACUUUUAUGAUUUAUUAAUAUUUUAAGUGGGAAUAAUAAAUAUAGAAAUAUUAAAAUAUUAUUAUUAUAUAAUAGAGGUUUUAUUAAUUUUUUUAUUAAUUAUGGUAUAUUUAAAAUAUAUAAUUAUUUUAUCAUGAGUUUAUGCAAUAUCUGAAUAUAUAUAUCGAGAUAAUUAAAAGUGAACUAGUGGAACCUCCACUUCCACGUGGAAGUGAAGGGAUGGCCUUGUUCCUUAAAUUUUCCUUUGUGGCCAUCAUUUAAGAUGCGUGUGUGGCAAAAUUAUUAAAGUAAGUUAAUUGUAACUUCUUGGCAACUUUAAGUCAAAAAGGAAAGAGAAACAUUUUCCUUUAAUUACUACUCUUUGUUUUAUGCCUAUGGCUUUAUGACCCAAUGGGUACCAUGAAAAAAAGAAGGGAGAAUUAAUAAAUUAAUCAAUUAUACAAGCUUGACUUCUAGUGGGGUAUUAUUCGGAAGCUUCAGGGAAGGAUAUUAUAGCUUUGGUGUCCAGGUAAGCCAAGUUUAUUCUACCUUUAGAUUGAGCUUAUUUACUGAAAUUGUAAACUAUUAUGCUAGUUUUGGAUAAAUGUUUGUAGAUGUGUAUUAUUUGGUUUAUAAAAACUGUCUUAUUUAUCCAGAUUAGGACCCCUUUCUAGUAAAUAUUGGAAUAUUAUCUUUUAAUAUAAUAUAACACCUAUUACUUUAGGACGUGAAACUAAAUUACAAAAUCUUGAAUUUAUCCCUUUUUUAUUUAAGAUUGACGGAUGAUUAUUUAGACGUUGAUAUUGUUAUGGUAUGGUAUGAAUUUUAAUAUUACCGUUGGGUAUGGUUACUAUGAGUUCCGGCUCGAGUCUAGAAUUUGAUUAUUAUUGUUACUAUGAGUUCCGGUUCGAGUCCGACAUUUGAUUAUUAUAGUUACUAUGAGUUCCAGUUCGAGUCAGGCAUUUGAUUAUUAUUGUUACUAUGAGUUUCGGUUUGAGUCCGGCAUUUGAUUAUUAUUGCUACUAUGAGUUUCGGUUUGAGUUCGACAUUUGAUUGUUAUUGUUACUAUGAGUUCCGGUUUGAGUCCAUCAUUGCUACUAUAAGUUUUAGUUUGAGUCCGGCAUUUUAUUAUUAUUGUUACUAUGAGUUUCUAUUCGAAUCCGACAUUUGAUUAUUAUUGUUACUAUGAGUUCUGGUUUGAGUCCCGGCAUUUGAUUAUUAUUGUUACUAUGAGUUUUGAUUCGAGUCUGGCAUUUGAUUAUUAUUGUUACUAUGAGUUCUAAUUCGAUUCCGGCAUCUAAUUAUGCUUAUGGUUCCUCUGAUCUCUUAUAUUUAUUCCCCUAUAUCAUUGCCGUAGCUUGGUAGUUGUUUACUUUUCUGUCCUUUUUUACUGUUGACUUAUAUUACAUCCUUGUAUUGUAGUUAUACCGUUUCUGUAUUGAGCUCAGUCGGCCGAUGAUGCCUACUGAGUACCUGUUGCUUUGGUACUCAUACUACACUUCUGCAUCUUUUCUCCGAUACAGAUCUGAGUUUUAGCAGCCGUCAUUGACUUGAUUCCUACCUUCUAGUACUAAUUCGGAGUAGGGUGAGCUUACAGCCGUCCGAGGUUGAUCCUUCUCUAUCUACUCUGGUUUAGUCUUUUGUACUUGAGACUGCUUGUGUAUAUUGGGUACAUUUUAGAUUUUUGUUCAGUACUCUGGGUACCUUUUAGUAAUGCCUCUAGUACUAACCUUAUCAGGUCUUAGGAGGGAUUCAUUUGUAUAUUUGAUCCUUUUCCUUCUCUCGUGUUGAUAUGUUAUAUGUGCUUCCUUCUUAGUUUUCACUUAUUAUUGUUGUUGCUAUCAUUAUGUGACCUUCUUUUGGGUUUUUGCUAGUUAGCCCGUUACCUAUCAUUUCAGGUUAUGGCUUGGCUUGCCUAUUAGGGGGAUAAGGUAGGCACCAUCACAACUUGAGAAAUCGGUUCAUGACAAGUAGUGGUGUUGCUGUUGGUGCCAAUGAUAUCCUUUUUACAGUUUUUAAAAAAAACCAUUAUGAGUUUGAUCAUACUUAUUAUACAAAUUUUGCUUCUCCUAGCGAAUGUUCUGUAUGCAAAUGUCAAGACUACAAGGCGAAACAUGAAGUAGCGAUUAAUACUAUUAAUGCAUUAGCUGCCUCUGUAACGAAAUUGACAUCUAAGAGGGGUGUCAUUCAGUCAAAGAGGAUUUUAUAUCCAUCCACUCCAUUAGAGAUUAAGGCUAAGAGAGAAGGAAAGUAAUUUUCAAGGCAUUAUCAAGCAUCCAAAAAAGCAAAAUUAUAACUUCUCUGUCCGUGUAUUGCACUAUUGAUCAAUGUGCAAUAACCGAAAGAGAGUAAUAAGAGCUGAAUAAGGUGAAUAUAUAUCAUCUAUUUCAACUAAAAAAUAGACACAUAUCUGUUUUAACAGAUGACACAUCUGCUGAAAAUUAUCAAACAGAUAUAUACAUCUAUUGUAAUAGUUGACUAACCUGUUACAUCAUAUACAAUAUCUAUUGCAACAUUUGUCUCGUCUACUUUAGUAAAUCAAAUAUCUUUACAAACUGCUUUUAUUUGUACCAACAAAUGAUCUAUCUGUUGUAAUGGAUCGGUCAUCUGUUAGGACAAAUUAAAAUAAGACUUUCUACCAUUUGAGUUUUUCCAAACAGAUGAGUCAUAUAUUGCAAUAGAUGGUUCAUCCGUUGAAAAUUAUCCUACAGGUCUUCCUCAUAUUAUUAUCCUUUUCUAUUUUUCUGUAUCUCCGUGAUUAGCAUUGACCAAUUUUGACUUUCCAGGUGGAUGUCACUGUAGAAAAUACUGUUGAACAAUAUUGACAAUAAGCUACUCUUUUUAUGGAAAUACGGAGAACAGAAAGCGCAGAAAUCAUACGCAAGAGACAUUAAAGAUCCACGAUGACUAAAGUCGAAUUCUAUCGCAUCGGAUAAAGAAUAACUUGUCCAUAUUGAGUAGAUCUUUAUUGCUUGAGUCUAUCAAAGGAAUAACCUCACCCCUCCUUAGGAAUUUUUGGCAUCAAAACUUAAAUUGUUGAUGUAUUUGUUGAGAUCUGUACCCAUAAUAAUUUUUUUACAUUUCAUUUAUUUGUUGAUUUAUUUCAUGUAAUUUCUGAAAGGUUCAAUUUGUUUUAUUUUGUCUAUGAAUUUUAUUUAAUCCUUAGAUUUGAAUUUUUUAAUUGAAAUGGAAUACUAGUUUCAGAUACUGCAACAGAUAAGGUAUCUGUUGCAACAAACGACAUAUCUGUUAGAGAAUAUCAAACAGAUUUAGACAUAUGUUGCAACAGGUAGGUAAUCUAUUGAAAAUUAUCAAAUAAGUCUUCCCAUUAUUGCAACAGAUAGACUUAGAUAGAAACAUCAAUAUAAUACAACAGAUGACUAACCUAUUGCAAUAGAUAAACUAUAUAUUAGAACAGGUAAAAUUUGUUACAACAGAUGGACAAUCUGUUGCAUUAUAAAAAUUCAACUUUCAUUAGACAUAAAAAAUUGCCAGUUAAGUAAAGUGUAGUGAUUUGAAAUAAUAAAGGUGGAAUCCAUCGACAGUGUUCAUUUUAAACACCUAAAAUACAAUAGGCAUCAAGUAGACAAUGUUUAUUUUAAACACCUAAAAUAAAAUAGGUAUCAAAUGUGCCAGCUUGACACUUUUUGGCCUGUUGGUAGCUCACGUGUAAUUCACACAAGCAAGGCUUGUUGAACCUCUAUUUUUGCUGACUUGGCAUCUGAUUUGGCCCCCAACGAUUAUUUUCCUCCUAUUGUUUUAUAUAUUCUUCUUCUUCCUAAAAUUUAACCCUAAAUUCCCAAAUCUUCUUCUUCAUCAUUUUUUUUCUCUAUUCAAAUUCUUUAAAUUAUUUGUAUUUGGUUUUUCUGCAUAUUUUUUUUCAUUUUUUCCAACUGAGCUUGACAAUGUCAAGCUUAUCUUUCACCAGUUUUUGUGAUAAAGAUUUUUGAUAUUAUAAGUGUGGCCAUGAAGCUCUAUUGAAGACUUCUUGAACUCAACAAAAUCCAGGUCAUAGGUUUUUUACUUGUAAGAUUACAAAGGUAAUGUUUUUUUUAUUUAAUUAGUUGAUUAAUUAUUGACUUGUAAUUGUUUUAUAAUUAUGGUCUUAUUUUUGUAGAAGUUGGGUGGAUAUGAUUACUUUGAUUGGUAUGAAGAACGACACCCUUCACAAUAAAAUUGUGUAAUCGGGGGUUUGUUGAAGAAAGUCAAAGCUUUUGAAGAGAAAUAAAAUCGAGCAAGAAGAUACUACAUUGUUAGCAUUAUUGCUACCGGUUUGGUAUUGUUGUGCACAUGGAUAUUCAAGUAUAAUUGCUGAAAUUUUCAUGGUGGUGUAUUUAUAUUUGCUACCGGUUUGGUGUUGUUGAGAACAUGGAUAUUCAAGCGUAGUUGUUGGAAAAUAUCAAAUAGAUUUAGACAUAUGUUGCAAUAUAUAGAUCAUCUGUUGGAAAUUAUCAAACAAGUCUUUCCAUCAUUGCAACAGAUAAGACUUUGAUAGAAACAUCAGCAUAAUGCAAUAGAUGACCAACCUAUUGCAAUAGAUAAACUAUCUGUCAGAACAGAUAGAAUAUAUUUUACAACAUAUGGACAAUCUGUUGCAUUGUAAAAAAUUUAACUUUCAUUAGACGAAAAAAUUACCACUAUAUGUAUGUAUAGUAUGUAAAGUAAAGUGACUUGAAAUAAUAUUUUUUUUUAUUUCACAGGGUUUUCUUUAUAACCAGGCUCCAAGUGUCCAGUUAGUACCCCAUAAGCCUAGACCUCUUGCAUGUUUGCCACAACAUUGUCAUAUAUAAAGGUUGUUGGCUUAGCCAUUUCUAUGCCGGUCAGCAAACAUUCGAUAUGUGCAAGAGCGUGCGACUCGCAUGUGGCAAAGAUUUCAUUUUUUGGAAGGUCCAUGUCCUUGUUUCGACCUUCAAAAUCCCAUGGUUACUUUAUCAACCUUUCGUUGACAAAUGAUCCAUCAGUUUACUCUUCCUCAAUAAGAUGGGGAACAACUUGGCUAAUUGUUCUUUUCUUCCUCCCAAUCGCCACUGUAGGAAUAUAUAGCUCCCUCACCUUCUUGGAUGGUAUGAAACACCUCUUGGAAUUUAGUUCCUCAAUAGCUUUAGCUAUAGCCUCUAUUUUUCAAAGAGUUUAUCCUGGCUGUCCUUGCACUCUUCACAUUUACAAUGAGAAUAUGAAGGUAAAGAGGGCUGAGAGGAACCUGUGUAAGGGUGAGAGGGACUUGUGAAAGAGGUGCUUUCAAACAUACUUAUUUUUUCUUGAGCAUUAACAUUCUCAACAUAACGAUUGGCAGCAGCAUCAACAUGCCUGCCACCAACAUCAACAACUCCACCAGCAACACCUCAGAAGAAGCACCCGGAUCUGUUGCAGUAAGUUGGUCAUGAAGAAUAUCAACAUUAGGCUGACCUUGCCGAACUGUUAUUCUUAUGGAUAUUGCUCCAGCUAAUUAUUUAUUUAUUAACUCUACUAUUGGGUCUACUAUUGUAUCAACAAGACCUAGAAUAAUAAAAGAAGUCAUCCCCAACUCCUGCUCAGUAGGCAUGGUCCAUGGAUGCACAACCUAUAAAAAAGUCAGAUACAUUUAAAUUAUUUAAUAAUUUGUAUUUAGUUGGGUUACACGUUAACACAGACAACUUAUGCAACAGAUGAUCCUUCUGUCACAAUAGCUGAUCUGUAUGUCGAAUAGAUUAAAAAUAUAUUUCAUUAGAUUACCCAUCUAUUGCAUAAUUUACAGUAGAGGGGUAAUUUGUUGAGUCAGGUUCAGAGAACCAGAGAAACAGAUGGUUAAUCUAUUGUUAAAUAUGGAUCGUCCGUCGUAACAGACUACCCAUCUGUUGCAACAGUUACAGUAGACAGGUAAUCUGUUGGAAUAGAUGACCCAUUUGUCGUAAUAGAUGGCACAUCUAUUUCAAUAUAUUUCUUUGAGUUAAAUUAUUUCACUUGAAAGAAGACGCACUGCAUCAUCCGGAGGGUUAAAGAGAUCAGCCUCCUUAAUUCUUAUGUUACUCUUUGCAGCCAACCACCUAAGGAUUCUUGGAUGAAAAACCUCAUCCGAAUAAUCCUUAGCCUACUUUCGGAGGUGAGGAAUGACUUCAAAUGUCCAAGCCUAAAAAAUGUAAAAAGGAGGUAAGAAAAAAAGUGAUAAUAAUUAUUUAAUAUAAAUUAAUGGAUGAGUAAACAGAUAGUAAUUAAAUUUACCAUGAAAGCCCAAGAAAAGCCGUAUAAUGUGAUUGUCUUUGGGGAUAGAUUUGUCAGUAAAUAUUUUAAAGUCAAGUAGUAGCUGUCAUAUCCCCAAAGAUAAUUAUUGAAUUUCUCAAAAUCCUCAGCAAGCUUCAACAAAUUAUCUUCUAUGACUUUGUUAAUGUCUCUUUCCAAUAUAACGGAAUGGGCAAACCAAACUACGUAAAACUGGUCCCUGUACUGCUUUGGUAUGGUUUUAUCCUUGAGAUAUUUUAUCAACUUAUUAGCUUUGCACCCAUGUCCAGUAAUGUCCAACAACCCAUAUAUUUUUUCCCUUGGUUUUGGUGGGUGGUCACUGGGUCAAUGUCUUACCAUUAUUUGAUGGUGGUGGUUUGACUGUCCUGCUUGCCUUGGACCUUUUGCGUGGUGUUUCCUAAGUGAGAGGUUGUUUUGGACGAUCGCAUGUCAAGCCCGUCACUAUGGCAUUCCUUUUUAAGACAAAAAAAAUUGGCAUGCCUUAGUAGUUGAUAUAGAUUUUAUCCAUCCUUUUCCCCCCUCCUUUGAAUCUUUAUCAUCCCCCACGUGCGUGAUCCUACGCUUUAGAAGACCAUAUACCAUGCUCGUUUGGAAACGGGCAGUAUAGUCCUCAGACAGAUCAAGAAAGUUUUCAAAGCAACUCUUCUUAAAAAGUCCAUCUAUGUUUUUAUUUUUCAUAAUAUUCCUAAAUUUGUCAAAAGAUUUCCCCAACUGACAUUUAAGUACAAGAUCACUAGUUAGUUCUGCAGGGUAAUUUAUCGACAUCGCAACAUGAAACCUGUUAAUACUAAUAGUUUUGAUAGCCUCAUGCUGGGAUUUCAAUAUAAUUCAUGCCCCAUUGGUGAUAAAUUAUCAUCCUCUUUCUCGCUUUGUUCUCCCUCCUAUUCUUGUUUAUUUUCUCCUCUCCCCUACCCACUUUCAUUCUUCUCAUCACCAUCUAUAGACCGUUAUCCACCUCCCUAAACAUUAUUUUCAUAACUUUCCUCAGCUUCACUUUUCCUUACUGAGAUUGUUCAAAAGCUCCUUUGAAUCCCUCUGUAUUGUAGCCACUUUUGUUAGGUGGUCAGAAGUUGAUCCACUUUCACUUUCUUUUCUUUUGAGAGCCAUGUUUUACCUACAAACAACAAAAAAAGAAAAAUUACAUUAUGAUUGAUGUAUGCAAAAAAUUUUUAAAAAUACAUUACAAACACCACAAACCAAUGCCUCCACCACUACCACCAACAACCACCACAAACACCACAAGUGCCACCACGAUGACCACCACCACCAUGAACACUAACACCACAAAUGCCAUCAAAUAAUACCACGACAGUCAACGGAUCACUGCACAAAAGUUAGGGUUUUCUCGGGUUCUUCCUAUGAUUUUACCAUCAAAACUCAAAAUUGUAAACCCAUUCUCAAAGAUAAUAAAACUAAAAGUCUUCUUUUUCAUCAUUAACUUAAAAGUCCUAAUUUUUAGAAAAAAUAACAAAUAUAGAACUCUUUUCAAACUCUUUUACCUACGAAGAUAGGGAAAAUGAUGGAUGCCAGCAAAAAUGAAGUCAAAAAUAAUACCUAUGUGGUCAAAAAUAGGAAAAAAAUAGAUCUGUUAUGUAGGGUUAAGCAAUUUGUUGAGUAGUUGUUGUCUGUAUUGUUGAAAGAGAGAAAAGUGCGAGAAUUCAAGAUUCGAAAUGAUGAAAUGUUUUCUCUGCAAAUGGAUGAUUUGUAUGGGUUGAUUUAUAUUUUGGAAAAGAAUGACAAAUUUUGAAAAUAUUAAUUUAGUCCAAAUUGAUCUUAAUUAUUUUUUUAAAUUUUAAGAGAUAUGCGUAAUUUUUAACCGUCUCAUCAUAAUAAAGUGUAUUAAGUUCAACUAGAACACAUAAAUCAAUUUAUAUAUUAGCUUAACAAUGAGUUAAUAAGAAUCAUUUCAACACAGAGCGAUCGAUCGAUAAUACAGAUCGGGAGGAAUGCAAUACCAAAAUCAUAUAAUCGCCAAAGACUCAAUUGAAGUUAUAGUUGACCCCAUGAACUCACCCCUAGUUCUAGCUAAAUAAAUUUAGGAAUUAGAUUGACAAUGAGGUAAUAAGAAUUGUUUCAACUCAGAGUGAUCGAUCGAUGACUCAGGUCGGGAGGAACACAAUACCUAUAUCAUGAAAUUGCCAAAGACUCAAUUGAAGUUGUAGUUGACCCUAUGAACUCACCCCUAGUUCUAGAUUAAUCAAUUUAGGUAUUAGCUUGGCAAUGAGGUAAUAAGAAUUGUUUCAACUCAGAGUGAUCGAUCUAUGAUUUAGGUCGGGAGAAACGCAAUACCAAUAUUAUGCAAUUGCCAAAGACUUAAUUGAAGUUGCAGUUGACCCUAUGAAUUCACCACUAGAUCUAGCUAAAUCAAUUUAGGUAUUAUCUUUAAAAUAAGAUAAUAAGAAUCAUUUUAAUUUAGAGUGAUCGAUCGACAACUCAGGUCGAGAGGAAUGCAAUACCAAUAUUAUUCAAUUGCCAAAGACUUAAUUAAAGUUGUAGUUGACUCUAUGAACUCACCCCUAGAUCUAGCUAAAUAAAUUUAGGUAUUAUCUUGACAAUAAGGUAGUAAGAAUUAUUUUAACUCAGAGUAAUCAAUCGGCGACUCAGGUCGGGAGGAACGCAAUACCAAUAUUUUGCAAUUGCCAAAGACUUAAUUAAAGUUGUAGUUGACCCUAUGAACUUACCCCUAGUUCUAGGUAAAUCAAUUUAGGUAUUAUCUUGACAAAAAAUGUAAUAAGAAUCAUUUCAACUCAUAGUGAUCUAUCAAUGACUCAGGUAGUGAGGAACGUUAUACCAAUAUCAUGCAAUUGUCAAAGACUCAGUUAAAGGUGUAGUUGACCCUAUGACCUUACUCUUAGUUCUAGGUUAAUACAUUUGGGUAUUAGCUUGACAAUGAGGUAAUAAUAAUCGUUUUAACUCAGAGUGAUCAAUUGACGACUCAGAUCGAGAGGAAUAAAUACCAAUAUUUUGCAAUUGCCAAAUCCUACGAACUCACCCCUAAUUUUAGCUUAAUCAAUUAAAUUUGUAGUUGAACAUAUGAACACAAUUAAAAUUGUAUAAAAAUAAAUGUUCAACCCAUUGUAACAGAUGAAUUAUCUUUUUGAAUUUAUCAAACAGAUUAAGUAAUCUAUUACAACAGAUUAACUAUCUGUUGUAAAUUAUCAAAUAGGCAUUGCCAUCUGUUGUGACAAAUGAAUGAGCUGUUGGAAAUUGACAAACAACAAUUGUCAUCUAUUGCAAAGUAUGACUUAUAUGUUUUAAGAUCUUUUAUUUUAUUUUAAAGCAAUUUCUUAAUUUUCUGUCUGAGAUAAAAAAGAUAAAAUAUUAAGGCGGUAAAAAAAUAUUACCUUCUCAAGUCAGAAGGAACACAAUACCAACAUCAUGCAAUUUUUAAAGAGUCAAUUGAAGUUGUAGUUGACCCUAUGAACUCACCCCUAGUUCUAGCUUAAUUAAUUAAAGUUGUAAUUUAACAUAUGAACUCAAUUGAAAUUGUAUAAAACAAAUGUUCAAGUUGUUGCAACAGAUGACUUAUCUAUUGGAAUUUAUCAAAUAUAUUUAGUCAUCUAUUGCAACAAAUUAACCAUCUAUUGUAGAUUAUCAAAUUGGUGUUGCCAUCUAUUGCGACUAAUAACUGAGCCAUUGAAAUUUUUCAAACAAAAAUUGUCAUCUGUUGCAAAGUAUGACUUAUAUGUUCUAAGUUUUUUUUUUUAUUUUAAAGCAAUUUCCUAAUUUUUUGUUUGAGAUAAAAAAGAUAAAAUACUAAGGCGGUAAAAAAUAUUACUCAGAUAACUAAAAAAUCUCCUCAUUAGUCUUAUCUUGUCUUUUCAAUGUCACUGUCUACUCGUGCCCCUUAAAGUUAUUAAUGAAUAUUUAAAACCCAUGUCUAGAAUUCUCUCUCCUUCAGCCAUAAAUUAACUCAACUUAUCUCUCUUUUAUAUUCAGAAUUCUCUUUGUCUCCUCUUAGGGAUAAUCACAAUCGUCUCAUUUUUUCCUCUCUUUUCUCUCUUUUUUUGUAAGAGGAUCCUUUCAGAUCUCAACCGAUCAAUAUCUUUUUUCUUGACUAAAACGGGUGUUCUGAUCCCUUUAUUUUUUGACAUUAUAGGUGUGGUUCACUAUUGCUCUUACCUUCUCAUCUUCUUCUUUGUAUGUUAUUUAAAUUAGAUAUUUACAUCUAUUGUUAUUAUUGAUUUACCCAUUACCAGUUUCCUAUUUAUUGAGAAAAUUGACGGAAAGGUGACUUUUAAGUCUUGAAUGAACGAACCGUUAUUUUUAUUAAAAUAUGUGAAAAAAGUCAUCUAUUGGGAGAACUUAAAAAACCUUAUUGUCAGUAUCAUUUUUUAUGUCUUUUGUUUGUUACUUUGGUGGUGCUGUUGUUGGGGGUGUUGGUGUUGUUGGAACACGUGGUGUUUGUGUUGUUGAUGGUGUUGAAACAUAUGAUGUUGUUUCUUUGCUAUUGAUGUUGUUGUUGAUGUUGGUGGUGGUGUUGCAAUAGUUUUCUUUACAAUUGCAAUUGAUGAAUCAACUGUUGGAAUAGAUGGAGCAACUAUUGGAAAAAAUCAAGCCAGUAGCAAGGCUGGUUUGAUUUAUUCCAACAGAUGACCUAUAUGUUACAACAUGCCAUCCAUCUGUUGCCACAGAUGUGUCACCUGUUGCAACAGAUGACUCAUUUAUUGAACAGAUGGGGAAUUUAUUGAACAUAUGAGGAAUCUGUUGCAUCAGAUGGGUCAUCUAUUGAAUCAUUUAAUUUUGUGUUACCUUUUUGUAAUGUUCUUUUUGUUCUUCUCUUAUUUGACUUCAAAUGUUUUUCUCUUAUUUUCAGAUAAAAUAAAGUGAAACUGGAUCAACUUUUGCCCAACUAGCAUUAAAGGCUCGAGUAAAGAUGGGUUCAGAGGAAUAAGCUGCUUGCAGAUGAAACCACUUCACAUAUGGGAGGUAUGUAUUACUGAUCAACCUAUUGUGAAAAUAGAAUCCAGUAUACUGAUUUUAUGAAUGUUGUUCUUUACCUAUUAGGCGUUAAUCUUUCAAAUAAGAGAUGGCAUUUUACAGUUAAGAUUGUCAACUUUGAACUGGUAAGGCUGAGGAACAAGUAGGUGGUGUCGAUACCCUGUUAUGGUUUAAUAAAGAUUUUGCUAAUGUUUAUGUGUCAAGUAUGGAGAAGGGUUCAAGUUUUUGGUAGUAGUGUAAACAUUCAAAUAGUGAUUGGACUGAUUUUAAGGGUUCAAUGGACUUUUGAAAGGCCUCCGAAGCCUCGCACUGCAGCAAACAAGAAUGGAAAACCAAAAGAAAUUCCCCUGGUCCAAAUUUAUGUGGAUGGAUUGCUCAUUAGACUAUUAUACAACAGAAGGUGAUCGGAAGAAUACUUGUGUGGGAAAGGGGAAGUGGAGACGACCAUAUAUCAACUUAGACCUUAUUAAAGAAGAAACAUAGGGUAGGAAGGAAAGUGUAGCAAAACUGGCUGAUUAAAUUGGCAGAAAAAAUAAAAAAAAUUGAAUGAGCUGCAAAUGUGAAAAUAUAUCCAAAAAUGAAAAUUCAUCAGUCUAUUUUGAAAAGAAAAAUAUUUAAGUGGAUUAGAGCUGUGCACUUUGUUAGGGGACUGCAACUAGCUAGUGUGGCCUGAAUGAAGACCCACAAAAUGCAGGACCAGAACUCUAAGGUUUCAACUUUGCGAGCACUGAUGGUGGUAAGAUUGUUAGUCAGGAGUAAAACCUGAACCAACAACUCCUAAAGUAAAAAAUAAGGGAUCAAGCCAAGGUGGAAAUUUCUCAAGUUAAACUUGCAUUCCAUGCCUCCUGUUUAUGGCUCCGGUCUGGUCAAAGGCAAUGGAAAUAAUAAGGCAUGGGAUUUCUGCCCAACUUCAGACCUUUUUGUUUCUACUGCCAUUUACUUGAUCAGAACCACAAACAGAAGACAUGGGAUGCAAGUUAGACUUCAGAAAUUGAUGCCUUGGCUUUCCUUAUUUUUACUUCUGGAGUAGUUGGUUCAAGUUUUAUUCUUGGUUGAAAAUCUUACCAAUUCUAUGUGCUUGCCAAGUUGCUUCCUUAGAGUUCUGGUCCUGCACUUUAUGGGUCUUCAUUGAGGCCACACUCACUAAUUGUAGUCCCUAGCAAAGUGUCCAGCUCUUGUCCUCUUUAGGAUUUUUCUUUUUCAAGAACGACUGACGGAUUUAAAUAUUUGGAUACACUUCCACAUUUGAAGCUCAUUCAGUUUUUUCAUCUCUCAAGUAAAUUUCAUUGGCCAGAUUCGCUAGAAGUUCCUUACUUGCUUCCUUGUGUUUCCUCUUAAAUAAGGUCUGAGAUAAUAUAUGGUCUUCUCCACCUCUCCUUUCCUGCUCAGGUAUUCUCCCAAGAACCUUCUGUUGUAUAGUAGUCUCCUCGAGCAACCCAUCCAUAUAAUUUGGACCAGGGUAAUUUCUAUUGGUUUUUCAUUCUUGUUUUCUGUAGUACGAGGCUUCAGAGGCCUUUCAAAAGUCUAUUGCACCAUUAAAAUCUUCCCAGCCACUAUUGGAUAUUUACACUACAACCAAAAACUUGAACCUUUCUCCAAACUUGACACAUAAACAUGAGCAAAGCCGUCAUUAAAUUGUAAUAGGGUAUUGACACCACCGUCUUGGAACCCUUCGGCCUUAUCAGUUCGCACCUAUCAAACUAAAAUGUAAAAUAAAGGAUUUUGUUUGAAGGAUUAAUGUCUAAUCGAUAAAAAUUGCAUUCGCAGAAUUAUUGUAGUUUAUGUGUGUCUGUCACGAUAACCUGAUAAAUAAUACAUAAAUUCCAUGCAUGAAGGUGGAUCCAUUUAUCUGCAUGCACCUUGUUCUUCCUACCCCAUUAAUUUCAGUCAGUGUUUAUUCUUCACUUUCCAUCAUUAAGUAGUGUACAAGACUAUGAAGGCUCAAAGGGUAACCAUCUUCAAUGUCAGAUGACUACUUGCCCGUCAAGAAAAAACAAGUUCUGCAAGUCGUGAAUUUUUACCUUUUUUAUUUUUAAAUAUGUUUAUAUAAUAAGUCACCAAUUUGGAUUAAUUAAGGUAUGUGAUGACUAUUUAAAAAAAGGUGAACAGUCGUGACUUUUUAUCUAACAUAUUCAACACAGUUGAUGAAGCAAAUUCCCUAUCUGUUAUAAUUGAUGAAUCAGCUAUUAGAAGAAAUAAAAAUAUCUCCUCCAAUAGAUGAUCCAUCUGUCACAACAGAUAAUCCAUAUGUUGUAAUAAAUGUCUCAUCUGUUACACAUACGGACCAUCUGUUACAACAGAUAGUAAAUUUGUUGUGACAGUGGGUUAUCUGUUGUGACAGAUGGACGAUCUGUUGCAAUAGCUCAAUAAUAAAUGCUGUUAUUAAGUCUCAAACUAUUUUGAAAAGGUGAUAAGUUUGAAUGAAAAAGAAAAAAUUACAACUUUUCAUAGAAAACAAAAAGCAAACAGUUUGAAUGUAAUUAAUACAAUGGAGCUGAACAGUCGUGCCUUUUUGCCUAACACAUUUAGAUUCAAUUCUCUAUAAAUAGGUCCCUCCUUAAUCUUCAUUCUACUCCACUUUUAUUUAUUUCUUGCAUUUUGUCUUUUCGUAUUGCAUCUUCAACCACUUCUAUUCAAAAAACAUAUUCAUUUCUCGUUGAGGUAAGUUUUUUCUGUGUAAAUCUACCAGUUGGUAGUAUACAUUGUAUUACAUUUGAACUCUUUUCUUUACUUUUGUAUUUACAUUUUUGUCAAUUCAUGGGUGUUCUAGAUAUGACUGGUCCUCUUUGGGACAUUGCUAUUCUAUGCGACACCGUAUAGGAACUUCAGAGGCAGGUUAAUGACCUAUAUAAGGAGUUGGUCACGUGAGAGCAAGGAUAUUCAGAGAGAUGCAGAGGCCGAUGAGGGCCUUGCUGCUAUCGAUUGACGAAUGUCUUUCUCGCAAUAAUAAUGAUGAUGAUGUUGAUAAUAAUAAUUAGAAUGAGUUUUUUGUUUUAGCAUAUGCAUUUUAAUUUUUCUAUAUUGGAUCUAUACCUAAUGUAUUUUAUUUUUCGUUUGAUGAAAAUUUUAUUUUUUAUCGUCUUUGGCUUUUUAAUUCUUAUUUAAUUUUAUUCUGUUUAUUUCUUCUUCUAAACAUGUUAACAUGUCAAUGGUUGGAGGUAAGGAGCAAUUUUGAAUCCAGCAGCAACAGAAAUUUUAGCUUUUAAGUUCUUUCAACAGAUGGACUAUGUGUUAGAACAGAUUGGACAUCAGUUGGGUUUAUGUCAACAGAUUAUCCAUCUGUUCCGACAGAUUUGUUAUCUGUUGGAGGAAAACAUUCCAGUUUGAUGAACUGUAUUGUGUUCUUCCAGCUAAUGUCAAUCUGUUGCAAUAGAUGGGCAGUCUGUUGAAAAUAAAUUUAUGGUCUGUUGUAUUUAGUUCAUGUUUUGCCUCUUUUUAUUGAUGCACAAGUUAUUAAAAAGGAUAUUUUAUAUAAUAAAUGAUAACAUUUACGUUCACAGCAAUGAAUUAAAUAUAUAAAAUUUCACAACAAACAGCAACACAAGUUUUGGCAAUUACAAUGAUCGAUUACGAUCCAAGCAUAUAGUUCUUUUGUGGCUAGCGCUCUUACAUACGGAGCACUUAUUUCUUCUUGAUGAAAAUGAUUCUCUGACUCCACGCCUCCUCUUAUAUAUGGAUGAGGUAUUAAUCUCCUCAAAAGCUCUGCAGGAACAAUCCAAGAUUCUUCGGGAGGCACCAGAGUAAUAUUCUCCCUAUAUGCCAUUGUAUAUUUUUCCACCAAAUAAUAUGGAGAGGAGUACUCAUAAAUUUUAGUUCUAUAUUUUGCACCAUAUUGAGCUCGAAGCGCUAUCAUAGCAUUUGGACAAGGUAUUUUGUCCAAGUCAAACACUCUGCACAUACAAUAUCUUGUUUGAAGAUCGACCAUGGCAACAUCACCAUGACCGUUAAUACUGAACUUGUAAUCUGCUAGUUGAUGAGAUAAUAACCUAUUUUGCAGACUGAUGUUCGUUGAUAUUAUUUUUCUACUUCUAGAACAAAUGGGGCUCUUGGAUCCUCGAACUCCAGACGCCUUUGUUGAAAAAAUUGGCCAUACUUCUUGUUUAUUAUUUCAAACAGAUCCACGAUGGGAAAUUCUCUUUCAUCACCAAAUAAUGAAUUCACCGAUUCAGCUAUGUUUGACGUCCUAAUAUUAUACCUAUGAAAAAAAUCACUUAGUACGACAUCAUACUAAACUUGUAACUCAAACAAGACAUUAAAUUCAUAAGAAUGUACCUAUUUGCCGGAUAGAAUGCCAGAAUCCAUCUCUCAAAACCAACAAGUACGAGAUGUUCUGCUGCCUUGGGAUGCAUAUCCGCUAUUUGAUUGAAAUGGUCAAAGAACUCCUCCCUACUCUAUGCUUUAGCUGCUCUAUAAUAAAAUGUCAUGACUCUUUCAUUGUAAAAUUUGGUCUGAAUGUUCUCUCUAAGAUGCCUAGUGCAACAACCAAAGUGAGCUGAAGUGAAGAAAAUUAAACCCAUCUCCGGAAUACUUGGAUGCCUAUCCGAAACAAAACACAACUCUUUGGUAUCUUCGACACAACUUCACAAUUGUUCAAGAAAAUAUCCAUAAGAGGCAUUACAUUUCUUGUCCUCUACACAAAAAAAUGACAGAAAAGAUGUGAUUCUCCGCAUCCUGCACCACCACCGCUAGUGGAACUCCAUUAUACCUGCUCCUCAAGAAGGUACCAUCGAAGGCUAUGCCUUUUCUCAAAUGUCGAAAACCUUGAAUCUAAGCCCCAUAGAAAACAAAAAAGUACUUGGACCUUCUAUUUUCAUCAACAUGCAGCACCAUCUUACUUUCGGGAUUUAUGGACUCAAACAUGUAAUGGUAGGUAUCAAGGACUGCAUACCUAUGCUGAUGUGUUCCUUCACCAAGUCCUUGACAAUCCCCAUGGCCAUAUAUAUCUUCUAAUAACUGACUAGGACACCCAAUUCCGUAAGAAUUUGAUUGGCCAUAACCCUUGUAGAAGGGCUUUUGCCAUUAGGAAAUCUAUUCUUGAAAUAUUCACCGAGGACCUUUGUCGUGGCAUGAGGAUUUUGGCCUAAAAUAUGCUUCGAACUACAUAUGUGAUACUUUUCAUAUUUAUGAAUGAUGAAUCUGUCAUAACUUAAGUACUUCACCUCUCUCAACCACCACUUGCAGUUCAGAUUAGCACAUUUGUAGCAAAAGACUUUGCUCGAAUUAAUCACCUUCAUUAUUCUGAAAUCUUUUUUCAAGCAAGAAAUAAAAAAAGUAGUAGAUAGUUCUUUCUUGUCCUUGAAUGACAUUCCCUUGUAAAAUCCGACCUCGUCAUCUUGACGAUUGCCAGACUGUAUCGAUCGAGAAGCACUGCCCACCGUAUUGGUCGCAUCAACGGGCGUAGGUGUUUGAUCAUUAUCUGGAAUGUUCAUGUAUAGAUAAUCCAACCUAUCAUCAAAGAUGUAUUGUUGUUGUUCUUCUUCUAUAUUCUGGUUCUCAUUCUCUCUCGACUUUUCAACCACGUACACUCUUAACACCGGCCUGGAUGAAUUACUAAGAUAAACACGCAACCGAACCUGAUCGGUUAUCUUGAAAGGUAGUACCCUCUAAUUUUUAAAGGAGCUAUGCAUGUAGCUUAUGGCGAGUUCUUCUGGUUGACAAUUCAGUCCACAAUAGCUGAUGGUUAAGUUUCCAAAAUCAUCAUAUGAAAUAUCACUUUAGACUGUCAUAGCUAUCGUCUCUAGCAUUUCAUCCUCCUUCAAAUGCCAUACAUAUUGAUUGCUCUUCUCGAUCCAUUGAACAUGACAAUCCACUCCUAUUGUUAUUGAUCUCACUAUUAGUGGUACCUAAAUAAAGUCAUUUAUUAAAAAAAUUUAAUAGUGAUUUUAUAGUAUCGUAACAUGAAUCCCUACAGAUGUGUAAUAUGUUGCAACAGGUAAGUGACCAAUCAUAACAGAUUACUUACCUGUUAGGAUUCAUGUUACGCUCCUGAAGUUGAUUUUAAUAGACGAGUCAUCUGUUGUAACGGAUGAAUCAUAUAUUGCAACAGACUAUACAUCUAUUGCAACAAACGACAUGUCUGUUGGAAUCGAGUUUAGGUUAUGUUGCAACAGGUUGUUAAUUUGUUGCAACAGAUAUUUACCCUGUUGCAACAGAUGACACGUCUAUUGGAAUCGAGUCCAGGUUCUGUUGCAACAGGUUACUAAUUUAUUGCAACAAAUAUUUACCCUAUUGCAACAGAUGGGUCAUAUGUUACAACAGAUGAUCCAUCUGUUCGAUUCAUGUUACGGCACUAUAGAACCAUAAACAUGAAUCCAACAUAUGUCUUCCGUUGCAACAGAUGGCUCUUUUAUCUCAACAUAUGAUUGAUCUUUUUAAAAAGAUGUCUUUUAUGUUCCAUUUAUGUUCGCGUGCUAUCUAUUGUUGAAAAAACAACACAAUAAUAGUUACCUAGAUGACAAAUUCAACUAAAAGUCAUAAUUUGACUUACCAAAGUUUUUUGUAAAGUAAUGCCAAAGUGGAAAGUGAUGUAUGAAACAAAAUUUGACCUAAAAAUUAAUCAAAUAGCAGCAGUAGCGGUAACAACAACAACAACAAUGGUCAACAAGAAGAAGAUGAAGAUUAUAAUGAAGUAGAGAUGAUGAAUAAAGCAACAACAACAAUGAACAACAAAAAUCGCUAAGAGAGAGAAAACAACAAUGGAUGAAAAAAGGAGAAACACUCAUUUUUUCCCUUUGUUUCCCGUUAUAUUAAGUAAACAUUUAGUUCAAAGUGUAAAUUUAAAAACUUAUGUGCUAUUCUCAAACUUACCCAAUUUUCUUAAUCCAUAAUAAAGUAAUUGUCACCUAUACUCAAUUAUUAAGAUUAGAGUCACCUACACCUCAUUUCAAACUCUUUUAUCACUUUUAACUCAAAGCCCUAGUAAGUGUCACAAAGUUACAACCUAACUCUAUUUCAAGUAUUGUCUGUUUUGAUUUCAGACUCGCACUAACUCGUCUAUUUGGGGACAUAUGUCCUUAUUGAGCCUUAAAAACAUCCUUACCAUAUCAUUAACUUGAGCUAUGUGUUAUAAUGUUCUUUACUUUACUUUCUCGAAAUUCCUUUCUCAUUUUGAUCUAAAAUUCGCCUUUUGUGUCAUGACUUAAAAACCUUUACACAAUUUGCUUUUGAUUUUAAUAAAAGGAACCUCUAGGGACCAAGCACUCUCAUCCCUAAUGCAGAGACCAAAGAGUUAUUGAAUUUUCGAGGACACAUCUUACGAGGAGGUGAUCCUCCUCUAAGUUGAUCAACCUACCCACUAAUGAACUAUGUGGGAGGAGGUCUGAAUGAAACCAACCGAAAAUUCAAAUCAUAUCUUGUUAAGAUCGUUUGACAUAUAACAUCUCCUUGUUUUUCCUUUCCUCUCUAGAACCAAAACUAUGAAAACACCUUGAAAAAAAUUAGGGGUAGGGGAGGAGAAUGGAGAGGAAAUCACAAGAUGCAUAAUCAAACCUCACCACCAAGGUAAAGUUUAGAAACUAACCAACUAAACUAUAAAAAUUUCUCAAAUGGACAACAUUAGAUAUUCGUCUUAAAAUUUCUUUCAUCAGGAAUAAAUAGUAUCUCUUGACCUAAUAAAUCUCUAUUACAUAUGAAGGUUUGCUAUUCCAAACAACAAGAAUACUAAUAAGAACAAAAAAAUCAAAAAUAUAAAAUAAAUUCAACAACACCUUAUGACUCUAGCAGGAGAAACAGCACCAAUUCCAGAGUUAGAAUUAUUACAAGAUUUCAUAGUAUGAGCCCUCAUAAAUGACAAAACAGAAACCAUAGCUGAUUUCACUUUUAACACCAUCUUCUUCAACUUCUUGUUCCUCAAUUUUUCUGAAGAUUCCAAUUUAUAACUUUGUAAAAAUAUGUGUCUUUUUCUUGCCCUUUCUCUUCUAUAACUUACUGAACUCAACAUAACUGGACUACUUCUUUGUUUUCCGCUUCUCCGUAAUUUCAUAAUUGUUCUACGACCACUAUGACUAUGGUCUUCAUCAUUUCGCAUUGGAACUUCUAUGCUUUUUGGCUGAUCCAACGGUUCGUACCUGUCCACCCGUCUGCUAAAACGCAACGGAGUGUUUCGUACUAGACUUGUCAUGGCUAGUAGUCAGAAAAAUUUGCUUUGCUCAACUUUGGAAAGUCUUGGUUCAAGAGAUUUUUGUGGUAGAAUAAAAUUUUAGCUAUAUGUAUCAAUUGGAUUUGAUGAUUGUGUAUUUUUUGAUUCAAUUAUUGAUGAUGCAUUUAAUAAACGUGUUAGAUUUGUA